rnacentral:lncRNA from 1 species
CUGGCCGGGAACGCCGCCAAGGACAACAAGAAGAGCCGCAUCGUGCCCAGGCACCUGCUGCUGGCCAUCCGCAACGACCAGGAGCUCGGGAGGCUGCUGUCCGGCGUCACCAUCGCCCACGGCGGCGUCAUCCCCAACAUCAACCCGGUGCUGCUCCCCAAGAAGGCCGCCGAGAAGGCUGAGAAGGCCGGCACCGCCGCCAAGUCGCCCAAGAAGGCCACCAAGUCCCCCAAGAAAGCCACCAAGGCGUAGAUUGUAGUAGUGCGGUGUGCUGAUUGUUCGAGUUUGGUUAGAUGUAGUAGCUGCUUCACUCUGUAUCCUGCGCCCCUGAUGUAAUCGCGAACAAAGGGGAAGCCGCUUGCUUCCUCUUGACUUAUGAAUUAUCAACUAAGCGUUUCUGAACUGAAUUUGUCUCUGUUCAUUUAUUCAGAUUUGGAACUGAACUAAAUUUGUUUCAUGAAUUAUUUGGGAUCCAAUGAGACCCUCCAUUCAUAAGCUCACAUAACGAGCACAAAAUCCUCUCAUAUUUGUACAGACCAUAGCUGAAAUGUAACUGACGAACAGAACUGAAGCUGUUGCUCACAUGGUGGACAAAUCUUCAGGUUCCUCUUCCGUUGUGCAAUUCCUAGAGCCGGAAUGUUUACCAGGGCUCUGAAGCUACACUCGUCUGUCAUGUGAACAAUUCUGCUGAGCACAUUCUGAUUGGGCGGCACACAUUUUUUGCCCCAUUUCUGGAAGCUAAAUAAAUAUAUCACCGCCUCCUCUGUCAGACAACUCAACGGCUGCUCAAGCUCUCGUUGAACCUGUUGUGCGUCUGCUCCAUUGUCGAGUGGCAAAAAAAAGGCUUACUCUGCUGCUAAACCAAGACGUGUUCCGAUCUUGUGAAUGCGACGAGCCGGUGGCGUAGGCGACAAAAUAUUGCAGUAUCUCCAAUGGAUGGUCUGCUGGAUUUCGUUUACUGAUAAUGCGCCAAGCAAAUCGUAGCGAAUCAAGAGUAAUAAUACUGCUAAACCUGUUUCCCUUUUUUAAAGAGGGAACGAAUCUGGAGAAUAUAUAAACAGUACGACAACGCGAGUGUUAGACAAUCCAACGUGAGAUAAGCACACUUUGAGUUCGGCUUAAUAUCCGAGCCAAGAAGACACACGACAACAGAAAGAAUGGAGAACAUGGUGGGAAAUGCAUUGGAGCACCCGGGCACCACACCCCCCUAUAUGAAAAUAGCACUAAAAAAUAGGAAUUUCUAUUUUCAUGGCCCUUCUUCCUUUGUUCUGCUCAGGUUUCCCCGUCCAUCUAAGUGCGUUCACUUUUGCUCCCCAACACUUGCCCGCGCCUCAGAAAAGGCCAAAUGGUGUCUUGCCGACUGGUCAAAGCCUUUGACCGUUACUUCCCGGUGCUGACGCGUGGGCCCAAUCUAAGAUGAUGACAUGUGGGACCGAUUGGUGCUGAGGCAUGGGGCCGACGUGAGAUGAUGACAUGUGGGAUCGGUUGGCGGACAACCGGUGCUGACGCGUUUGUCUAAAAAAGAGGGGGACGAAUUAUCUCUCUCAUUUCGCACCCCCCGCGGCCCGAGCAACCCAAUUCCACCUCCACCUCCCCCAUCCCCGUCCCCACCCCCUAAUCCCGUAGCCACCGUCGGCUGACGCGACUAUGGAGGUGUUCUGCGCCGGUGACCCUGUCUUACUAGAGAAGUGCAAGGAGAUCUCCUAUUGGUUUCCUAGCACACAAGUUCUGGCGGAGCAUGCUGUAGCGACCAGACUUCAAACAGUCUGAUCUCUGUGCAUCAGUGUCAUCCUUGGAUCAGUAAUGCUGACACGCACAGUAUUUGAAGGAUUUAUAACAGAGUGACAAUCACACACUUAUUACAUCGAAUGUCUCAAAAGAGAACUUAUUACAAUAAAUAUGGCUUAAGACCAUCUAAUAACGAUAACAACGGAAGGCUUGGAAAAUAAGUGAGUCCAUCAACUCCAAUGGCAUCACUGAGUAUAGGACCACGAUCCUAAGGCAUCUUACUCAUCGUCUGAAAAGUCUGCAACAUAAACGUUACAGCCCGAAAACGGGUCAACACAUGGAAUAUGCUGGCAAUGUAACACAUAGAGAGUAAUGAACAAAAAUAUGCUAUACUACAUGCAUAUAUGGCUGGUGGAAAACUCUAUGGUUACAGUUUUACAUAAAGCCAAAUUUUCCCUACUGCAAAGGAAUAAAUUUUAUUUAACUAUCAUGGUGGUUGUUAAUCAUUGAGAAUGGUUGACAACAUUCUCAAUCCCAAUUAAAUAUCAUCAUUUAAACCCCACAAUAGUAAUUUAAAGUAACAUGAUGAGAAUUCACUUGAUAAUUCAAGUACUAGAUACUCAAAACGUCCAUAACCGGGGACACGGCUAACCAUGAUUAGUUUAUACACUCUGCAGAGGUUUGUGCACUUUUCCCCACAAGACCCGAUAUCCUCCGUUGGUUUUCUCGCACUGCAUGGUGUUUGAGAAACGGAUGACCGAGACAUAGUCUUUCAGAAGCGCUAGCACCUUACGAUUGGGUAGACCUGUACACCUACUUUCCCCUACAUCUGCUAGUCUACCACUGUAAGAGUUCGCAUGACUUAAUCAACUAUGCUAGAGCCCAUAAUAGCAUGUGGCUGCACACGGAAGUUUCUAGCAUGAAUAAUCUUAUGAUCCCUUUGAGUAUGGGUGGCGGUCCAUAGGAAAAAUCACACGGUACCCCGGGAUUUCCAAAAAUACAGGCAACACUGGAUUCUCCAGGUGCUUCAAUCCACCCAGAUGUGUAUUAAAGUUGCCACCUUAAAAUAAACCCUUAAUUAACAAUCUCACAUCUGUCAUGGAAACACUCACCCAAUCCGCGUCUACUAGCAUAGCAUGGCAAUAAGCAAAUGUAGAAGUAACUCCCAAGGGUUUAAUAAUAAAACAGGUGAUAGAUACUACCUCAUCUACUUCCCAAAAUCCACAUAUUAAUCAGAUCCUAAUCAUGCAAUUGUUUGAGGAAUGAUCUAAUGCAAUAAAACUGGGUAGUAAGGAGGUAUGAUCAAAGUGUUACCUGCCUUGCUGAUGAUCCAUGAAACCUAGAGAUUCGAAGUAGCAAGCGGCGCACUCCGGGUACUCUAUCGCAAACAAACAAGCAUACAAUAAACACUCAUCUAAUGCACGGAUAAAACUCAAAUAAGAGAUUUAACCAGAAAGUUCAACUUAAGGACUCCGGUUUGCAAAAAGAAUCAAAUCAAAUGAAGCAACGAAAGUCAAACGGCGAAAGAAACAGACUUCGUUUACUAAUCUGGAUGUAAGUCUAAUUUUACAGUAGCAAAAACUUGUUUGAGUUGGUUAAACGGAAAGAGGGUUUCGAGACGAAACUCUGGGCGCUUGAAUCGCCAGAUUCCGAUAAACGAGCAAAAAUAUAAACUAAAACGAAAAACAGAUCGGAAAUCGCGAUCAGAAAUAAUCACGGAAAAUCCGAGAAAAAGAAAAACUGACGAACAGGCUAACGAAUGAACAUUCGCUGUCUGCGGCUAAAAGAUGAAAACCGUUCGUUAAAACGAACGUACGAACGAACGUCCACUAAAUAAACUAAACAAAAAAAACAGAUCUAUGUUUUUUUUUAAAAAAAAACCGACCGAAAAACCGGCGGAAAACCGAACGGUUUUCUCGAGGAAAACCGUCGGCGGCAAGGCGGCGACUACCUCCGGCGAGGGGGCNNNNNNNNNNNNNNNNNNNNNNNNNNNNNNNNNNNNNNNNNNNNNNNNNNNNNNNNNNNNNNNNNNNNNNNNNNNNNNNNNNNNNNNNNNNNNNNNNNNNNNNNNNNNNNNNNNNNNNNNNNNNNNNNNNNNNNNNNNNNNNNNNNNNNNNNNNNNNNNNNNNNNNNNNNNNNNNNNNNNNNNNNNNNNNNNNNNNNNNNNNNNNNNNNNNNNNNNNNNNNNNNNNNNNNNNNNNNNNNNNNNNNNNNNNNNNNNNNNNNNNNNNNNNNNNNNNNNNNNNNNNNNNNNNNNNNNNNNNNNNNNNNNNNNNNNNNNNNNNNNNNNNNNNNNNNNNNNNNNNNNNNNUGGCGGCGUCGGCGGCGGGGCGGCGCGGCGCGGGAUCCGGCGCCGGCGGCGGCUUAGGGUUAGGGUUUGGGCGCGGGGCGGGCUGGUGGCUCGGGUGGGCUCGGGCGGCGCAUUAUAAAGGCCCGGCCAGGCGGAGUCCUGGCCGAACACGGCCCAAAGUCGUAUUCGUUUUUUUAAAACAUUACGCGCAGAAAAACAAAUAAAAUAAAUACUAAACGGGCUCCAAAAAUCCCGAAAUAAAUUUUUCCCGACUUCUAAAAUCAAGCCGGUUUAGAUGAACAUUUAUUUGGGGCCUAAAUGCAAUUUUGAAAAACGUGCAUUUUUUCCUAAUUCAAAUAAAAUAGCAAUAAAAUCCAAAAUAAAAUCUUAUUUGAUUUUUUAUUAAAUCCUCAAUAUUUCUCUAUUUUGGGAAAGUCAUUUUAUUCCCUCUCUCAUAUUUUAUUAUAGAAAUAAUUGAAGAUAAAAUAAAUAAAAUCAAAUGAUCCUAUUUUCAAAAUUUGAGAAAACUCAAAUAUGAAAAUAACGAAAUUCCCAACUCUCUCCGUGGGUCCUUGAGUUGCGUGAAAUUUCUAGGAUCAAGCCAAAAUGCAAUAAAAUAUGAUGUGCAAUGAUGAUCUAUGUAUAACAUUCCAAAUUGAAAAUUUGGGAUGUUACAAACCUACCCCCCUUAAGAUGAAUCUCGCCCUCGAGAUUCGGGUUGGCUAGAAAAUAGGUGAGGGUGGUCCUUCAGCAGAUCUUCCUCUCACUUCCAGGUGGCUUCCUUCUCGGUGUGGUGGCUCCACUAAACUUUGCAAAACUUGAUAACCUUGCUGCGGGUGACUCGGGUGGCAUACUCAAGAAUCUUUACGGGUUUUUCCUCAUAUGUCAAAUCACUAUCCAACUAAAUCGCUUCUAGCGGCACUGUAUCUCUCAGCGGUAUAUCAGCCAUCUCUGCGUGGCAUUUCUUCAACUGGGACACGUGGAAUACAUCAUGAACUGCUGACAAUCCUUCGGGCAAUUCCAACUUGUAGGCAACUUCUCCCAUACGCUCCAAAACUUUGUAUGGUCCCACAAAACGUGGCGCUAACUUCUCUUUAACACCAAAAUGCUUAACUCCUCAAAGUGGAGAUACUCGAAGAUAAACUCUGUCUCCGACUUCGUAAACUGUGUCCUUGCGUUUUGAAUCAGCGUAGCUCUUCUGUCUGGACUGGGCUACCUUGAGUCUAUCGCGAAUCAAUUUCACCUUCUGUUCAGACUCCUUAAUCAAAUCUGGCGCAAACAACCGGCGGUCUCCAACUUCAUCCCACGACAACGGGGUUCUCCACCUCCUUCCGUACAAGGCUUCGAAAGGGGCCAUCUUCAAAGUGGAUUCAUAACUGUUAUUGUAGGAAAACUCUGCAUAUGACAAAUUUUCAUCCCAACUAGAUCCAUAAUCUAGCGCACGGGCUCUCAGCAUAUCCUCUAAAAUAUGAUUGACUCUUUCGGUCCGUCCAUCUGUCUGCGGGUGAAAAGCUGUACUGAACUCUAGCCUGGUACCCAAAGUUUCGUGCAACUGAUUCCAGAACUUUGAGGUAAACUGGGUUCCUCUAUCUGAUACAAUGCUCCUCGGAACUCCAUGCAGACAUACGAUCCUGGUCAUGUAUAUGUUUGCCAACUUAGCAUAGGUGUAAGUGGUCUUCACUGGGAUGAAAUGAGCUACCUUCGUUAAACGAUCGACUAUAACCCAAAUCGAGUCAUAGCCUGAACGAGUCCUGGGAAAGCCCGUAAUGAAAUCCAUGCCUAGCUUAUCCCAUUUCCAUUCGGGUAUUGGCAAUGGCUGUAACAAUCCUAUUGGCUUCUGAUGCCCUGCCUUUACUCUCUGACAUACAUCACAAACUGCUACAUAUUCUGCAAUAUCUCUCUUCAUUCCGGUCCACCAGAAAGUAUCCUUCAAAUCCAAAUACAUCUUGGUAUUUCCUGGGUGAAUCGAAUACGGUGAAUCAUGGGCCUCUUGCAGAAUUAACUUUCCGAUCUCCGGGUCAUUAGGCACAUAAACACGAUCUUCAAACCAUAUGGUAUCGUGCUCAUCCUCACGAAAUCCCUUAGCUUUUCCUUGGCUCAUCCUCUCCUCUACAUCAACAAUCUCUUUGUCAGUCUUCUGAGCUUCUCUGAUAUUAUCCAUCAAAGUAGAUUGAAUCUCCAGUGCUGCUACAUAGCCUCUCGGAACUAUCUCCAAACAUAGCUCAUGAAGGUCCUCGGCUAACUCCUUCGGUAACUCUCCAUUCAUGAGGGUGUUGACAUGGCUCUUUCGGUUCAACGCGUUGGCUACUACGUUAGCCUUUCCCGGGUGAUAAUACAAUCUCAUAUCAUAAUCUUUGAUGAGUUCCAACCAUCUCCUUUGCCUGUGAUUCAACUCCUUUUGUGUGAAAAUGUACUUCAAACUCUUGUGAUCCGUAUACACCUCACAAUGGUUUCCUAUGAGAAAAUGCCUCCAGGUCUUCAGUGCAUGCACUACGGCUGCUAACUCCAAAUCAUGGGUAGCAUAAUUCAACUCAUGGGUCUUAAGCUGUCGUGAAGCAUACGAAACAACUCUUCCCUCCUGCAUAAGCACGGCUCCUAGUCCUCGACGUGAAGCGUCGCAAUACACCUCGUAAUCCUUGCUUUGAUCUGGCAGAAUCAAUACUGGCGAGGUAACCAAAGGUUCCUUCAACUCCUGGAAACUGGCCUCACAUUACUCAGUCCAAAUGAACUUGGUAUCCUUCUUUAACAACUCCGUCAUGGGUUUUGCAAUCUUCGAAAAGUUUUUAAUAAAUCUCCGGUAGUAUCCUACGAGUCCAAGAAAACUCCGGAUCUCUCCCACUGUUGUUGGUGCUUCCCAGUUUGUUACAGUGACAACCUCGGUGGGGUCUACUGCUAUACCUUCUCCGGAUAUAACAUGUCCGAGGAAUCCAACUUUCUUCAACCAAAAUUCACAUUUGCUGAACUUGGCGUAUAACUGGUGUUCUCUGAGCUUCUCCAGUACCAAACGCAAAUGCUCCUUAUGCUCCUCUUCGUUUUUUGAGUAGACCAAAUAUCAUCAAUGAACACCACGGCAAACUUAUCCAAAAACUCCAUAAACACCUUGUUCAUCAUGUUCAUGAAAUAGGCAGGUGCGUUAGUCAGACCAAAUGACAUAACGGUGUACUCAUACAGCCCAUACCUGGUGGUAAAAGCCGUCUUAGGUAUAUCCUGCUCUCAAAUCUUUGCUGAUGGUAUCCUGAUCGCAAAUAGAUCUUGGAAAAUACCUUAGCUCCUUGCAAUCGGUCAAACAAAUCAUUGAUCAUCGGCAGUGGGUACUUGUUCUUGAUUGUUACUGCAUUUAACCCUCGAUAAUCAACAACCAUCCUCAAUGAUCCGUCCUUCUUCUCCACUAGAAGUACCGGUGAUCCCCAAGGCGAAGAACUUGGGCGAAUAUAUCCUUUAUCCAGUAACUCCUUAAUCUGCCGCUUAAUUUCCUCCAAAUCUUUAGGGGGCAUCCGGUACGGUCUCUUAGGUAUCGGCCCUGUGCCUGGCAAAAGCUCAAUAAAAACCUCAACGUCUCUAUCCAGUGGCAUGCCUGGCAACUCUUCCGGAAAUACAUCAGGGAAAUCCUUCACCACUGGUACUUCCUCCUGCACAACUCCUGAUAAGGAAUUUACUUGCAUCCUCUUCGGCUCAUGUCUUGAUACAUACUUGAUCCUUCUCCCUUCUGGGGUGGUAAGCAAAAUUGACUUACUGGCGCAAUCGAUAUUUCCUCCAUACAACGAUAGCCAAUCCAUGCCCAGAAUUACAUCCAAACCUUGAGAUUCCAAAAUGAUUAAAUCCGAGGGGAAACAUGCCUACCUAUACUUAAUGGCACUUGAAAACAACCUCGACUGGCCAUAUACUCCGCUCCUGGUGAGCUUACUAACAUAGGUGUGCUAAGAACUUUGGUGGGCAAUUUAUACUUAUCCACAAAUCCCCUUGAUAUGUAUGAAUGCGAUGCACCAGUAUCAAAAAGAACGAUUGCAGUAAAUGACUUAACCAAAAACUUACCUACUACUGCAUCUGGCUGGGCUUCAACCUCCUCCACAUUAAUGUGGUUCACCUGUCCCCUGUUGAAAGGGUUAGGCUUCUUUCUAGAGCUUCCAUUUCCAUUACCAUUCUUUGCUUCAGGACAUUCAGUGGCAUAAUGCCCAGUCUUCUGACAUUUAUAAUAGGUGAUGCGGUUCAGAUCCCUCUUGGCUGGUGUUGGUGGGUUGGUACGGUUCUGGCCGUUGCUUCCUCCAUUCCCAUUACCAUUCUUGGGGCCACUAUGGUUGUGCGAACUACCUCCUCCAUGGGUAUGCUAGAAAUGUCCUCCCGAGUUCGGGGUAAAACGAGGCUUCUGCUGAGCUCCAGAAUUGUUCUUCCCCUGUCCAUACUUCCUCUUGCGGUUUUCAAUCUGCUGCUGCUUCCCUUCAAUCAUAAGAGCACGGUCUACCAACUCCUGGUAGUUUGUUGAAACUUGCUACCAUCAACUGCAUGCUCAGCUCAUCAUUCAGUCCUUCCAGAAACUUCUCCUGCUUAGCUGCAUCCAUAGCAACGUCCUAUGGGGCAUAACGUGCUAACUUACUAGAGUCAUCCACAUACUGGCCAACUGUCCGUCCUCCUUGGCGCAAGUGGCGAAACUCACGCUUCUUCAUGGCCAUAGCUCCUGCUGAAACAUGGGCAGUACGGAAAGCCUACUGAAAUUGGUCCCAUGUGACAAUGUCUAGAGGAUAAGUGGCUGUGAAAUUCUCCCACCAUGAUGCUGCGGGUCCUUCAAGCUGAUGUGCCGCAAAGCGCACCUUUUCCGCAUCCGUGCAUCCUGCAGUGGUCAACUCCCUUCCUAUCUUGCGGAGCCAAUCAUCUCCAACAAUCGGCUCGGUGCUACUGAAGAACACCGGUGGAUUCAGCCUAAGAAAACAGGUUAACUGAUCAACAGGUGGUGGUGGGUUGUUGUUGUUGUUGUUGUUGUUCCCCUAAUUCUAAUUCUAGACUAGCAACUGCAUGAAGGCAUUCUACUGCUGGAUCAACUGAGUGAGCUCCGGUGGGAAAGCAAAUCCAUUGUCACGUCUCGGAGGCAUCUGAGGGUUUAGAAAAGAUGAGAAUAUAGAAUAGGAAUGAGGUCUAGAGGGAAAACACUACCCAUAUGCACAUGAGACAAACUUGCAAUCAAAACACUUCAUUCAAUUCAAACAAGGGCAUACAUCGGUCUAACUAUCAUUACAAAAUGCUCAGACUAUACUAGAUACAUGGGGGAAUACUACUACUGUUAUGGUGGUCGACUAGAAAAACUGCUCCAAUGAAGACUCCAUGAUAUCUGCUCCAGCUUCAUUAACAUAGUCAUCAUCGCUAUCGUCUGGAUCCGAGUCGGUGUCGUCGAUGAUGAUGUAGUUCUCUGGAUAGGUGCAAUCUUCGUCUUCUCCUCCAGUUGUGGGGAAUCCCAUGAAUACCUUUAGCUUCUUCUUCAGAUCAUCGCUCUUCUCCACUAGUGUUGCUAUUUCCUCCUCAUAUCCAUCGCGUGUAUACUUGAGUUCUUCCUCCAGUUCCGUGAUCUUGGUUCUGUCCUUCUUCAGAUCUAUCAUGCCUGCGCACAUCUGGUUCUCCUGGCGUCGAAUGUGCUGGUUUAACUCUUGAAUGAAGGCAGCAACUGAUCUGUCCUUCCUGGUACUGAUCAUCUCCCAUUGCUCAUCUCGUCGCCCACAAAUUUGGUAGAUAGUAUCCUUAAGCUCCUUGUGGGAAACUUCUCCAAUACGUCCCAUUGUGAUGUGGGCUGCCAUGCUCUUUCCUAGACUCCAGGUUGGUGCAUCGAAGGAAAACUCUAUGGGCUCAGUGACGGGCAUGAACAUCCUUCCUAGAACUUGAGAACUUGAAUCGUCUAGCGCUCCUCUUCAGGUAAAGUGGCAUUGUAGGUCCCAGUGAAGCUUGGCACUACGAUGUUCAGGUACUUGGUGACUUCCUUCAGGUGUUGUCCAAAGGGUGUAUCUUCAUCCGGUUGCGUGAACUUGUUCCUUGCAUCCACCAUCCUAAAAGAGAGUAGAAAAGAUGAGGAGUCAGAAAUGAGAAGAGUGAGUAGUGAUAUAGGGCUUUUGCUUAAUGGUCGUGUCCUACAGUCAGCGUGUGCUCUGAUACCAUCUUGUAGCGACCAGACCUCAAAUAGUCUGAUCUCUGUGCAUCAGUGUCAUCCCUGGAUCAGUAAUGCUAACACGCACAAUACUUGAAGGAUUUAUAACAGAGUGGCAAUCAUACACUUAUUACAUCGAAUGUCUCAAAAGAGAACUUAUUACAAUAAAUAUGGAUUAAGGCCAUCUAAUAAUGAUAACAGCGAAAGGCUUGAAAGAUAAGUGAGUCCAUCAACUCCAACAGUAUCACUGAGUAUAGGACCAUGAUCCUAAGGCAUCUUACUCGUCGCCUGAAAAGUCUGCAACAUGAACGUUGCAGCCCGAAAAUGGGUCAACACAAGGAAUAUGCUGGCAAUGUAACACAUAGAGAGUAAUGAACAAAAAUAUGCUAUACUACAUGCAUAUAUGGCUGGUGGAAAGCUCUAUGGUUACAGUUUUGCAUAAAGCCAAAUUUUCCCUACUGCAAAGGAAUAAAUCUUAUUUAACUAUCAUGGUGGUUGUUAGUCAUUGAGAAUGGUUGACAACAUUCUCAAUCCCUAUUAAGUAUCAUCAUUUAAACCCCACAAUAGUAAUUUAAAGUAACAUGAUGAGAAUUCACUUGAUAAUUCAAGUACUAGAUACUCAAAACGUCCAUAACCGGGGACACGGCUAACCAUGAUUAGUUUAUACACUCUGCAGAGGUUUGUGCACUUUUCCCCACAAGACCCAAUCUCCUCCGUUGGUUUUCUCGCACUACAUGGUGAAAGUACAUGUAGUACCCAUGUGUGGUUUUGGUAAUUAAUGAUAAUCCUAAUGGACUAAUGUUUGCAUUAAGUUAUACAUUUGAAGGAAAGUUCCAUUUCCAAUGCAUGAAGAAUAUUGGAUGAACUGAAGUAUGUUUAUUCCAUGGUGAUGCAAGAAGGAGAUAGAAUGGAUUUCAAAUGAAUGACAUGUACAUAUUGUUGUGCAUGCAUCAAGGCUUAUGGGUUGAACCAUGAUGGAUCAAGAUCUUGAGAGAAUGAUUAAAGAGAAGAAUUCUACAUAUGCUUGAAGAUAGGAUCAUUAUGAGCUCAUAUGUUGAGUCAUGGAUUAGUAUGUCAUGAAGCAAGUAAUUCAAGUGAAGAAUUCAUUGUGCCUCUCAAGAUACUAUGUUGGAGCAUGAGAACGAGCAAAUGAGGUCCAAUAUGAUAUUCAAGGAGAAAAUUGAUAUGGUCAUGAUGAAUUAAGAUAUUGGUUAUUAUGUCUUGAAGAAAUGAAGCAUAGUGAAGAUAUCAAUAGGGCCUUAAAGACAUCAAUAUUAAUCAUGGAGCAAAGAUAAAUGUUGACCAAGAUGAAGAUCAAAGAUUGACCUCUAAUAUGGACAACACACAAGCACAUAUCAUGUGCCACAUGAGAUAUUGUGGCAUGGUAAGAAUUUAUCAAUUGCGCUUUGUGUAUUAACCCAUACUAUGUGUUGUCUAUGUUAUGUGGGUUAGGUAAUUCUUAUGAGCUUGGUGCUCAUCAAAGGAUGUCAUCAAGUAAUUAAUGAUGAUGUACAAGUGAAGAUGAAUGCAAAGCAAAGCUUCCCACAUUGUGUAUGGGGAAGCUACUUGAAGACUUCUCCAAUGUCUUGCCUUCAACUUGAGCCAUGAAGAAACAUCAAUAUAAAGCUCAAGUGAAAGGCUAUAGUCAAAGGUAUUAGUUCCUUUGGCUUUAGAAGCGAGGAUCGAUGACCAUCGAAAAGGAUAUAUGCUCAAGAAUGAGUUUCCGGAAGCUAUCUAGUAUAGUUCUUUUAUGAUUCUUGAGUUAUAGGGAUCCCGCACUAUUAAGAGGGGAUCAAAGGGGUUAGUGAUGGAUUUGCUCAAGUCAACAUCAUCUAUUUCUAUUCUUCUCACAUCAUAUUCCAACAUAGGCAUAUUUCACUCCAAUCAAAUGCAAAUACAAAAUGCCUACACAUCUACCAAAGAAAAUCCAUAGCCAAAUAGGUUCCCCAAAGUAUAUGAUCUUACCUUUCCAUACUUUGCACCCUCCAUUUUGGUUUAUCUUGGGUGGUUGUCUAUGUGAGGACCUGGAGCUUUUCCAUAGCUUCAAAAUGAGCCCAAGAUCAUCGAAAUCAGAGUCCGGAUGUGAAAGUUAUGCAUGUUUUACUUUUGGGGCGGCUGUAGUUUUUGUUUUGGCCGGAUGUCCGGGCUUUUCCCCGGAUGUCCGGCCACUGCUAUCCAGAGGGCAUCUGAUUUGUGUGAAAUCACCGGAUGUUCGGCCCCUGGCCCGGAUGUCCGGCCGUAGAUUUCCAGAAACCUUACCGAAAUGCUGUUUGUAUACGCCGGGUCCGGCCCUUGGCCGGAUGUCCGGGGCCCCAAGUUUGGCCAGAUGUCCGGGCCCUGUAACCUGUUUUUCUGCGUACGUGUGUGCACACUUCAUAGCGCCCGGAUGUGCGGCCCCAGGCCUGGAUGUCCGGCCUGACACAACCACUUACACUCCAACGGCCAUAUUUGCACUACUACUAUAUAUAACCUUCUUCCACCCCGGGAGAAGGUUGAACAACACAUUCAUAUGAACCCUAGAACACAGAAAGGCUCCCUCUCACUUCUCCUACAGCAAAUCUUAGAUCCUAGAGAGAUUCAUUAGAGUUCUUGAGAGAUUUUCCAAUCAAGUGAUAGAUCCACUCCCUCUCCCUCUUGUGACCAAAGGAAUUCGUGAUUUGAGUAAGUCUUGAGCAUUUCUGCCUUGAUCUUGUUACUCUUGGUGUUGGAGACUCCUAGGCGGUAGGAGUGCUCUAGUGAGGAAUCAACUUGUGAUUUGCCUCCGGAAAGUUUGUGAAGGUUUGGAGGCCGCCUCAAGGUCUACUACUAGUGGUUGAGAAACGCCUUCAUGGUGUUGUCUCAAAGGGAGAAUAGGGUGAGCCUUCAUGGCGUUGGUGUGCCUUUGUGGUAACAUCCACCUCUCUAACGGUGACUAGCUUCCCUCCAAGGAAGUGAACAUCGGGAUACAUCCUCGUCUCCGUGUCUUCGGUUAUCUCUAACCCUAGCCACUACUUGUGGUUUACUUUGGUCUCUUGACCUUGCAUUCACUAUAUAUUGUUGUCCUCAUUAUAUUGUGUUGGCUAUUUCCUUGAAGAGGUUAUUUAGGCCUACACUUUAUAUCCCGCAAUUCAUACUUGCUACUAUUGAUAUAUCUUGUGUUUAGUGUGAAUUGCUAACUUGUGUCAUACACUUUCAUAUCUUGUCAUAUUCUCAAGUAAGUUUGUGUAACUUACUUGUUCUUGUUAGUAUCCUUGUUGUGCUCAUCUUAUUUAUAAUAAGUUGUUGGUGCACUUAGUUGAGCCUAGUGUAUUUAGGAUUUGUGCUUGAAAAGUAUCCUCUUAGUUUAUUUCCGCAUUAGGAUUAAGCCAAAUCCGUAGAAGUUUUUAAAACGCCUAUUCACCCCCCUCUAGGCGACAUCGUGGUCCUUUUACAUGGUGUUUGAGAAACGGAUGACCGAGACAUAGUCUUUCAGAAGAGCUAGCACCAUACGAUUGGGUAGACCUGUACACCUACUUUCCCCUACAUCUGCUAGUCUACCACUGUAAGAGUUUGCACAACUUAAUCAACUAUGCUAGAGCCCAUAAUAGCAUGUGGCUGCACACGGAAGUUUCUAGCAUGAAUAAUCUUAUGAUCCCUUUAAGUAUGGGUGGAGGUCCAUAGGAAACAUCACACGGAACCCCAGGAUUUCCAAAAAUACAGGCAACACUGGAUUCUCCAGGUGCCUCAAUCCACCCAGAUGUGUAUUAAAGUUGCCACCUUAAAAUAAACCAUUAAUUAACAAUCUCACAUCUGUCAUGGAAACACUCACCCAAUCCACAUCUACUAGCAUAGCAUGGCAAUAAGCAAACGUAGAAGUAACUCCCAAGGGUUUAAUAAUAAAACAGGUGAUAGGUACUACCUCAUCUACUUCCCAAAACCCACAUAUUAAUCAGAUCCUAAUCAUGCAAUUGUUUGAGGAUUGAUCUAAUGCAAUAAAACUGGGUAGUAAGGAGGUAUGAUCAAAGUUUUACUUGCCUUGCUGAUGAUCCGUGAAACCUAGAGAUUCGAAGUACCAAGCGGCGCACUCCAGGUACUCUAUCGCAAACAAACAAGCAUACAAUAAGCACUCAUAUAAUGCAUGGGUAAAACUCAAAUAAUAGAUCUAACCAGAAAGUUCAACUUAAGAACUCCGGUUCGCAAAAAGAAUCAAAUCAAACGAAGCAACGAAAGUCAAACGGAGAAAGAAACAAACUUCGUUUACUAAUCUAGACCUAAGUCAAAAUUUACAGUGGCAAAAACUUGUUUGAGUUGGUUAAACGGAAAGAGGGUUUCGAGACGAAACUCUAGGCACUUGAAUCGCCUGAUUUCGAUAAACGAGCGAAAAGAUAAACUAAAAUGAAAAACAGAUCGGAAAUCGCGAUCAGAAAUAAUGGCAGAAAAUCCAAGAAAAAGAAAAACCGACGAACAGGCUAACGAACGAACGUUCGCUGUCUGCGGCUAAACGACAAAAACCGUCCGUUAAAACGAACGUACGGACGAACGUCUGCUAAAUAAACUAAACCGAAAAAAUAGAUCUAGGUUUUUUUAAAAAAACCGAACGAAAAACCGGCGAAAAACCGAACGGUUUUCUCGAGGAAAACUGCCGAAAUAAAUUUUCUGCGCAGAAAAUUUAAACAUUACGCGCAGAAAAACAAAUAAAAGAAAUACUAAACGGACUCCAAAAAUCCUGAAAUAAAUUUUCCCCGACUUCUAAAAUCAAGCCGAUUUAGAUGCACAUUUAUUUGGGGCCUAAAUGCAAUUUUGAAAAACGCGCAUUUUUUCCUAAUUCAAAUAAAAUAGCAAUAAACUUCAAAAUAGAAUCUUUUUGUUUUUUUAUUAAAUCCUCAAUAUUUCUUUAUUUUGGGAAAGUCAUUUUAUUCCCUCUCUCAUAUUUUAUUAUAGAAAUAAUGGAAGAUAAAAUAAAUAAAAUCAAAUGAUCCUAUUUUCAAAAUUUGAGAAAUCUGAAAUAUGAAAAUAACGAAAUUCCCAACUCUCUCCGUGGGUCCUUGAGUUGCGUGAAAUUUCUAGGAUCAAGGCAAAAUGCAAUAAAAUAUGAUAUGCAAUGAUGAUCUAUGUAUAACAUUCCAAAUUGAAAAUUUGGGAUGUUACACAUGCGUUGCAAUUGUUGAGAGAUGCAACACCCGUUGAGAUCCGGCGGAUGAUUCCAGAUCCUGUUAAUGGGGUAACUUGUAAGGGGUUUUUUGUCUAGGCGAUGCAUGAGGCAAUGGAGUCGUCGGAUCCUCGUCAGCGAGCUCGCUGGUAUUCAUACGGGUCUCGCCGCGACCCACCGGAUCUAAAGGUCAAACUUGAGCUUGCAGCUAUUCUGUUGGUGAGAUACGUCCAGCCUCCUCUUGGUAUGUCUCUACACAUAAUUAUGCUUGAUAAUGUGGAGGAGUUUAUGAGGACCAUCGAAAUGCCUGGGCUCAGAGACGAGCAAACAGGGAGGAGGACGAGGAUUGGUUGUCAAAGCCUGCUCCGGCCGCCGAUGAGGAGGAGCACCAGGAUAAAUAUGCAAAGGAGGAUAGUCAUUCGUAUGCCAUGAAGCGUAUGAGCGAAGACGACGAUGUUUUAGGGCUUGUCAUGUUCAACGCAAAGCUGGAGGAUGAGUGGAAGCUCAUAGUUAUGUAAUUGGAGUUGUGAUGUACUUUUGUUUAUUUGUCACUCUCUACUGAAGUUUUCUAUAUUCAUGUGAGAUGUGUAUGCUACCUUAUCUACUUUUAGUAUGUUGAUCUGAGAUGUGUAUGCUACCUUAUCUACUAAAGUUUGUUUGUUUGUUUAUGUAUUGAAGUUUUUUUUUUGAAGUCUAUGGUAUUGUCAUUUUCUCAUUUUCCCACAAGCCAUUGCACAUGAGAGGCCUCUAUGCAAAAGGAUUUCAAUUUUGAGUUUUUUUCUUUUUUCUAUAAUUUAUUUCAAUGUGUUGUCAAAACUGUAUGGAUGACAAAUCAUAUAAAAUGGUUGGGAAUUAUAGUUUUAUUUGUGGGUACUGCCUAUAUUCGUAAUGUGCAAGGUGAAAAAUGUUUUUUCAGAAUUUAUUGGACCAAAGUAGAGCACACUUGCAGCGCAACGUUGAAUUACUUGAUGUAAAUCGCCCGAAAUACAAUUAAUCUAUGAAAAAUGGUAAUAUCACUCGGAAAUUUCAUGAAAAAUUGGCAUAUGGAAUCCCAUGUGGUAUACUUCAAGUGAAAAUUGUAAGGGCACUAUUUACAAUAUUAUUUAUGGCACUUGCUUCACAAAAAAGUCAUGUAUGGCACUAGAAAAAUGGAAAAUUAACUUUUUAUUAAAAAAAUCUUCAAUAUUUUUACAGAAUGAUUCCUCACAAUGAUAACACCCUUGUUAGUACAAAAAAUUGUCAUGUUAUCAUCUACUAUGCAAUGAAGAUGCUCAUGGGUAUGGUCAUCUUAAUUGAAAGUCAUCGAUCUUCAUAUGAGAUAGGUCAGUUUUGUGAAGUUUUUUUUCAAGUUUGUGGUAUUGUUAGUUUAUAAAUUUUUCCACAAGCCAUUGCACAUGAGAGGCCUCCAUGCAAUAGGAUUUAUAUUUUUGAGCUUUUUCCCCCUUUCUCUAUAACUUAUUUCAAUGUGUUGUCAAAAUCGCAUGGAUGACAAAUCAUAUAAAAUGGUUGAGAAUUAUAGUUUUCUUUGUGCAUACUGCCUACAUUCGUAAUGUGGAAGGUGAAAAUGAUUUUCCAAAAUUUAUUGGACCAAAUUAGAGCGCACUUGUUGUUCAAAUUUGAAUUACUUGAUAUAAAUCGCUUGAAAUUCAAUAAAUCUAUGAAAAAUGGCAAUAUCGGUCAGAAAUUCAUGAAAAAUUGGCAGAUGGAAUCCCAAGUGGUAUUUUCUUGUGAAAAUUAUAAGGGCACUAUUUACAAUAUUAUUUAUGCAUGCUUCACAAAAAAACAUGUAUGCCACUAGCAAAUGGAAAUAUUUUUUUAUUAACCAAAUCUUCAAUCUUUAUGUGAAAAUAUUGCUCAGAAUAAUAACAGCCUUGUUAGUAUAAAAAAUGGUCAUGUUAUCAUCUACUAUGCAAUGAAGAUGAUCAUGGGUAUAGACAUCUUAAUUGAAAGUCAUUGAUCUUCAUACGAGAUAGGUUAGUUUUGUGAAGUUUUUUUUCAAGUUUGUGGUUUAUCAGUUUUCCCACAAGCCAUUGCACAUGAGAGGCCUCCAUGCAAAAUGAUUUCAAUUUUUGAGCCUUUUUUCCUUUUUCUAUAAUUUAUUUCAAUGUGUUAUCAAAAUUGCAUGGAUGACAAAUCAUACAAAAUGGUUUGGAAUUUAGUUUUCUUUGUGGGUACUGCCUACAUUCAUAAUUUGGAAGGUGAAAAUAUUUUUUCAGAAUUUACUGGACCAAACUAUAGAACACUUGCAGUUCAACGUUGAAUUACUUGAUGUAAAUCUCUCGAAAUUCGAUAAAUCUAAGAAAAAUGGCAAUAUCACUCGCAAAUUUCAUGAAAAAUUGGCAUAUGGAAUCCCAUGUGGUAUACUUGAAGUGAAAAUUGUAAAGGCACUAUUUACAAUAUUAUUUAUGGCACUUGCUUCAGAAAAAAGUCAUGUAUGGCUGUAGGAAAAUGGAAAAUUAACUUUUUAUUAACCAAAUCUUCAAUCUUUUUGUGGAAUGAUUCCUCACAAUGACAACACCCUUGUUAGUACCAAAAUUUGUCAUGUUAUAAUCACUAUGCCAUGAACAUGCUCAUGGGUAAGGUCAUCUUAAUUGGAAGUCAUCGAUCUUCAUAUGAGAUAGGCCGAUUUUGUGAAUUUUUUUUGAAGUUUGUGGUAUUGUCAGUUUAUCAUUUUUUCCACAAGCCAUUGCACAUGAGAGGCCUCCAUGCUAAAGAAUUUCAAUUUUUGUGCCUUUGUUUCCUUUUUCUAUAAUUUAUUUCAAUGUGUUGUCAAAAUUGCAUGGAUGACAAAUCAUAUAAAAUGGUUGAGAAUUAUAGUUUUCUUUGUGCGUACUGCCUACAUUCGUAAUGUGGAAGGUGAAAAUGAUUUUCCAAAAUUUAUUGGACCAAACUAGAGCGCACGUGCUGUUCAACUUUGAUUUACUUCAUAUAAAUUGCCUGAAAUUCAAUAAAUCUAUGAAAAAUAGCAAUAUCGCUCAGAAAUUCAUGAAAAAAUGGCAGAUGGAAUCCCAUGUGGAAUUCUUUAGGUGAAAAUUGUAAGGGCACUAUUUACAAUAUUAUUUAUGGAACUUGCUUCACAAAAAAGUCAUGUAUGGCACUAGAAAAAAUAGAAAAUUAACUUUUUAUUUGUGGUAUUGUCAUUUAUCGUUUUCCCCACAAGCCAUUGGACAUGAGAGGCCUCCAUGCAAAAGGAUUUCAAUUUUUGAGACUUUUUCCUUUUCUUAUAAUUUAUUUCAACGUGUUGUCAAAAUUGCAUGGAUGACAAAUCAUAUAAAAUGGUUGGGAAUUAUAGCUUUAUUUAUUGGUACUGCCUACAUUCGUAAUGUGGAAGAUGAAAAUGAUUUUCCAGAAUUUAUUGGACCAAACUAGAGCACACUUGUAGUUCAACUUUGAAUUACUUGAUGUAAAUUGCGUGAAAUUCAAUAAAUAUAUGAAAAAUGGCAAUAUCACUCAAAAAUUCAUUAAAAAUUGGCAGAUGGAAUCCUGUGUGGUAUACUUCAGGUGAAAAUUAUGAGGGCACUAUUUACAAUAUUAUUUAUAGCAUUUGCUUUAUGAAAAAGUCAUGUAUGACACUAAAAAUGGAAAAUUAACCUUUUCAUUUGUGGUAUUGUCACUUUAUCAUUUUCCCACAAUUCAUUGCACAUAAGAGGCCUCCAUGCUAAAGGAUUGCAAUUUGGGAUUUUGAUCCUUUUUUCUUUUUUCUAUAAUUGUUUUCAUGCCGACGCGAAUGCUUGCGGCCUCACAUGUCAGUCCCACGCGAAUGCAUGCGACCUUCACGCCGAACCGAAUGCAUGUGGCCUUACAUAUUGGUCCCACGCGAAUGCAUGCGGCAGCCGUGCCUAGCCGAAUGCAUGCGGCCUUACAUGUAGGCCCCACACGUCAGCACCAGCGAAGUAAUGGUUAAAGGCUUUGACCAGUCGGCAAGGCACCGUCUGGCCUUUUCUGAGGCGCGGGCGCGCAAAGGAGGGAAAAAGCGAGCAAAGUUAGAUGGGCAGGGAAAACUAAGCGCAACUAAGGAACGAGGGACAUGGAAAUAAAAAUCCCUAAAAAAUAGUAGGAAAUUUCAAAAAAUCUAAAAUUUUGGGAUAUCAAAAUUGGGUGCCAAUUGUACACUCGUGUUUAUUUUUGCGAGGAAAGGGUGCUCGUGGUAUCCGCGGCAUAGGAAUUAUGGUCAGACAUACGAUACGUCCAUUUUCCCCUAUACAUACAUUUUUUUGUCUUUUUAUUGACAUUACUACAGGCAUCCAAUCCCCACGAAAUUGAACACAGAUGUACAAUGGACACCCAUGUUUGAUAUCCUAAAAUUUCAGAUUUUUUUGAAAUUUCCAGAAAUAGUUUUAGCCCUAUAUUCAGAUAGGGGUGUGUGGCACUUGAGAGCCACAAAUCCUAUUCCGAUCAUGACUCGUCUCACUGCACUAUUGGCCCUUGUUAUCCUACAUUCGUUGGUCGCCUCUGCGAGUAAGUUUUACCAAUUGUUUUUGCCAAGGUUGUGUUGCAUUACAUGCCCCUGUUUUAUGUAAUGUAAAUGAACUUUAAUUUGUGACUAGUGACUAAAAAACUCUAGAUGGUGUGCUUGAUUAAUGUUGUUCGAGCUCGCCGAAGGAACUACAUUAUUGUGCAAACCACCACAACUGGGGCAAUGGUUUGAAGAACAUUGGCUGCAAGCUGCCAGAGCAGAACGACGAGUGCAACGUGUGGUGCCAAUCGAACUGCCGCGGUGACGAAUGUAUGAAACAUGAUGGACUGCUCUUCUGUCAUUGUUAUUGUUGGUUGGGUGUGUAUUUCGCCGUUCAAAUUUGUACGCGACGAGUUGUAGUUAGAUGAUACCCUGCGUGUUGCUGCGAGUAUUGGUUGCACUAUAAUACACAAUUCGAUUUGGUUGUAUGAAACAUGAAUAUUUAGAUUAAUAAUAUGGAAAUGGAAAUGUGAGUCACUAGAUCUUAUACUUCCAUGAACGGGCCUUGUAUACAUGGGACCCUUCUAGGUUUGAGCCUUUUUGCUUCUUGCCCACGUGGUUGACUUUGCCUUUAUUUUAUUUCACACUCUCCUUUGACUUGUUGACUAUGAAAUUUGCUUAUACUUUUGUUGCCCGCCUUGGAUUUCGUUGCCACGCCAUGUAGGACUAACUUAGACACCUUUCUAUAAUUAAUUAUUCCCACAACAGCUAAAAUAUGAAAUUAAUAUAAGUAUCAUAUGGAAUGGAAAACCUUUUCCAUCAUAUAGUUGCAUGUUGAGGUGGGUCUCUUCUCCAUCCAUGGUUGCUUGUUCAAAUGACAUGCUUGCACGUUGAGAAGAGUAAGUUUGUGGAAAUUACCUAUUCUGUUAUAUAUCGGAUUUGCUAGGACUAUGUGCACCUUGUUGUAUAGAUAUCUAGAGAUAUGGUGUCAGUUUUUAUUGAUUGUAGAUUCUCAACGCAAUGGGGCUUAUAAGUCAACUACAAAAAAAUCUUUUUAUGGAGAAAAACUACUCUUUGGUCAAUUAUUAAUUUUGCUAGUAUAGAGGUGGUCAUGGAUAAAACCUCAUCACACAUGUUUUCUACGUCACGUAUAGGGGACGUCACAUGCGUUUUUUGGUGAAAUGCUAUCAUGUAAUGGUUCAUUACCGCCUCUCACAUGGUUUUGUUUUCUCACCAUUCUCAUCGGUGACUGUCUUUUGACCUACGCGAAUGACUUUUAUACUUGUGGAUCAUCAUAGAAAGUAAUAAUGUUGACCAGUAUGCAUUUUUUGUCAAAAUCAAACAAUGCGACCAUUCGGGCUCUAAUAAAGGAAGUUUAGCUCCAAUAGUUGAUGAAAACAAUAUGUAUUAUGGCUUUCCAUAGUCUUAGUUAGAUAUUGCCACAAAUUAAUGAAUAGACUAGAUCAUUGAUGGCGCGCGUUGCCACGCCUAUCCAUUUUGGCCUUCAGUGUGAGGUAAUUGGAUAAAAAUAGACACAAAACAUGAAUGUUGAGAUGAAUAUAUGUUUGCAACAUCCCCAUUUUUAUCGUAUGAUAGAAUAACACUCAUAGGAAUUUCCAUAAAAACAUGGAUGCAUCAGAAGCACCAGUUCUGAUUAUGCUCAUCUUGAGCAGAUAAUAUAAAUAUAAUUGAGAAAACUAAAGCAGUAGUAACAUAUAAUAGAAUUAAAAUGAUCAGAUUUAAAUGUAAUUUACAUUGUCAUGGAGUGGAGAAUCAAUGAACCAGAGCACAAAACCGAAAUCAAACUCCACAAAAAGGGUACAACGAUGCCUCAAUAGUUGUUUCACUGCCAGUUUACACUGCUUCAACCACAAACACUACAAUGAAAUUCCAAACACGUCAUAACAUUGCUUGUGUUGUUCAUACCCAGCUUUGGAAGUUAAAUACUUUUUGUGUGUCUCUAAAGUGCUCAACUUAGGAAGUUGCCUACUGCUUCCUUCGCUAAAAGAAAAUGGCUAGUCAAUUUUGCCAAUAUCACAAGGAAUAAAGGUCCAUUCAAAUUCAACAUAUAACCUAUGCAACACGGACUAUAUAGGUUAUUUGUUGAAAUUUACUUAUAAAGAAAAUAUUUUUUUUAAAAAAGGAGGAUUUCCCCCGACCUCUACAUCAAAAUGAUGCAUGCAGCCAUAUUAUUAAUCAAAGUAGCCACCAAGUAUGUAGUAUGAUACAAGAACUAAAAAUGAGUUAAAAAGAGACGAACAAAGCCACAUCCGGCAAAAAUAGGACUAGAUGAUUAUACAUAUAUUCUAUUGUUAGACCACCAUUCAAACCGGUUGUAAGUAUCCCGUGCUACCGUAUCUUAACGGUUGCACCCAUAAGCCAUAUGAUCCUUGACUUCCGCACGACUGAGUAAUGACCACGUACAAAUCCAUCUAGUUGCUCUAUAGAUGACCUGCAAAAAAAUGUUUUGUCUGUUAAAAAUCACGUCAUCUGACAGUUCCAUAUGGCCCAAAGUAAUGCGUACACUCCUACUCAAAUAUGCGCAGCUAAUUUAGGCUCUACCCCGUUUAGGCAAGUCCCAAAUAAAGUGGCUAAGGUAUUAGGAGGACUGUCACGAAGGCCCACAUGCAUGUUGGAUGAUUCAUCUCAAUCACACAACACCGUUUACUAUCCUCCCAACUACGUUUUGCCAAGUUAUCCUUAGUCAAGAUCACUUCCUUGCGAACAAACCACAUAAAAACUUUUGUCUUUAAAGGCACCUUGAUUUUCCAAAUGUGAAGCGACUUUGGGAUUGGACUAGUAUUUAUGAAAUAUAUACACAUAGACUUCACUGAGAAUACCCCUGACAUAGAAAGUUUCCGUUGUAGUGUAUCUGGCUCAUCAGAAAGGCUAGCAUCCAUCAACCUGCGCAUGAGAUGUAGCCAUUUAUCCCAUCGCUUCCCCAUGAGGGAUCUUCUGAACUAAAUGUUUAAGGGAACCGAUCCUAGAAUUGUACUUAUGAAUGCCUCCUUACACUGUACAGUAUUGUAAAGGGUUGGAUAUUGUAUGGCCAGGGGCGUUUUCCCUAACCAUGUAUCUUUCCAAAACCUAGUUUUAUUACCGUCCCCAAUAAUGAAUUUGUUCCUAUUAAAAAAGACAACCUUUGUCCGCAUCAACCUAUUCCAAAAAGGCGCAUCGUCCAACUACGUAGUAACUUGUGCAAGGGUCUUGGAGUGCAAAUACUUGUUAUGCAAUAAUUGUAUCCGCACACCCUCGUCCUCUAUAGUCUAUAUAACCAUUUAAUAAGUAGGAACCUGUUCUUUACCUCAAGGUUUUCGAUCCCUAACCCCCCUUGGUCCUUCAACCUACAAAUUAUAUCCCACUUUGCCAACUUGUAUUUUGAUUUGCUUUGUCAGAAAAAACGUGAUCGAUAGAAGUCCAAACUUUUUCGUACCCCCAUAGGUACUUCAAAGAAGGACAAUACGAACAUCGACAUUACUUGUAAGCAUGAAGUUUAUCAGAAUUACUCGACUCCCAUAAGACAUAAGCUUGCCCUUCCAGCAGCUUAGUUUCUUCUCAAAUCAAUCCCCUAUGAACUUCCUUUCUUUGUUGGUUAGUUUACGUUGAUGAUUGGUAUUCCCAAAUACCUAAAUGGGAGAAACCCCAACUCACAGAAAUUGUCUACAGUUCUCCUAAUCUUCCUUAGCGCACCCAAAACAAAAUAGUUCACUCUUGUUGAAAUUAAUUUUCAAACCAGACAGUUGUUCGAAGAGACACAAAACCAAUUUCAUAUUCCUAGCCUUUGUCAAAUCACGUUCCAUGAAAAUAAUAGUGUGGCGUACUGUAGAAUGGAAACCCCACCAUCCACAAGAUGAGGGGUAAGCCCACCCACCCGACCAUCCUCUCUUGCUCGACCAAUGAGAAGCACAAGUAUAUCGGUCACGGUAUUAAAUAGGAUAGAAAACAUCGAAUCCCCCUAUCUCAAUCCCUUCUUUGUGUGGAAGAAUGACCUAUGUCAUCAUUAACCUUUAACCCAACGCUGCUCAUUGUGCAAAAGAUUCUACCUGCUUCCUUCAGGCCGCAUAAAAACCCUUCAUAUGCAAGGUCUGUUGCAAAAAUGGCCAUUUAACUUUAUCGUACGCCUUCUUGAAGUCCACUUUGAAGACAACUCCAUCUAGUUUCUUCAAGUGAAUUUCGUGCAAGGUUUCAUGAAGAACGACCACACCCUCCAGGAUAUGUAAUUUCCUCAUGAAAGCCGUAUGAGUCGGCUGCACCAUAGUAUGUGCAAUAUGUGUGAGUCGAUUAAUUUCAACUUUUGUAAAUAACUUAAAGCUCACAUUAAGCAGACAAGUUGGUCUUAACUGCUCAAUGUGAACUGCCUCCUCCUUCUUUGGCAACAACGUAAUAGUUCCAUAGUUAAUGUGGAACAGUUGUAGCUGGCCAUUAAACAAAUCAUGGAACAUUUGCAAAAGAUCACCUUUAAUGAUAUCCUAAUGAUAACCCACAAGUGUAGGGGAUCGCAACAGCUUUUGAGGGUAGAGUAUUCAACCCAAAUUUAUUGAUUCGACACAAGGGGAGCCAAAGAAUAUUCUUAAGUAUUAGCAAAUGAGUUGUCAAUUCAACCACACCUGGAUAACUUAGUAUCUGCAACAAGAUAUUUAGUAGCAAAGUAGUAUGAUAGUAAUGGUAACAGUGGUAAAGGUAAAGAUAGUAAUGAUAGCAGUAUUAUAGUGAUUGUAAUAGUAGCAACGGAAAAGUAAAUAAGCGAAGCACAAUAUAUGAAAAACUCGUAGGCAUUGGAUCAGUGAUGGAUAAUUAUGUCGGAUGCGAUUCCUCAUGUAAUAGCUAUAACAUAGGGUGACACAGAACUAGCUCCAAUUCAUCAAUGUAAUGUAGGCAUGUAUUCCGAAUAUAGUCAUACGUGCUUAUGGAAAAGAACUCGCAUGACAUCUUUUGUCCUACCCUCCCGUGGCAGCGGGGUCCUAAUGGAAACUAAGGGAUAUUAAGGCCUCCUUUUAAUAUAGAACCAAACCAAAGCAUUAGCACUUGGUGAAUACAUGAACUCCUCAAACUAUGGUCAUCACCGAGAAGUAUCCCAAUUAUUGUCACUUCGGGGUUGUGGGAUCAUAACCCAUAAUAGGUGACUAUAGACUUGCAAGAUAGGAUCAAGAACUCACAUAUAUUCAUGAAAACAUAAUAGGUUCAGAUCUGAAAUCAUGGCACUCAGGCCCUAGUGACAAGCACUAAGCAUAGCAAAGUCAUAGCAACAUCAAUCUCAGAACAUAGUGGAUACUAGGGAUCAAACCCUAACAAAACUAACUCGAUUACAUGGUAAAUCUCAUCCAACCCAUCACCGUCUAGCAAGCCUAUGAUGGAAUUACUCACGCACGGCGGUGAGCAUCAUGAAAUUGGUGAUGGAGGAUGGUUGAUGAUGACGAUGGCGAUGAAUCCCCCUCUCUAGAGCCCCGAACGGACUCCAAAUCAGCCCUCCCAAGAGGUUUUAGGGCUUGGCGGCGGCUCCGUAUUGUAAAACAUGAUGAAACUUUCUCUCUGAUUUUUUUUCUUUGCGAAACGGAAUAUAUGGAGUUGGAGUUGAGGUCGGUGGAGCAGCAGGGGGCCCAUGAGACAGGGGGGCGCGCCCUAUAGGGGGGGAGGGGGCGCCCCCCACCCUCGUGGACAGGGUGUGGCCCCCUGGCCUUCAUCUUUUGCUAGUAUUUUUUAUAUUUUCUGAAACUUAUCUUCGAGGAUUUUGAAGUCAUUCCGAGAACUUUUGUUUCUGCACAAAAAUAACACCACGGCAGUUCUGUUGAAAAUACCGUUAGUCCGGGUUAGUUUCAUUCAAAUCAUGCAAGUUAGAGUCCAAAACAAGGGCAAAAGCGUUUGGAAAAGUAGAUACGUUGGAGACGUAUCAACUCCCCCAAGCUUAAACCUUUGCUUGUCCUCAAGCAAUUCAGUUGACAAACUGAAAGUGAUAAAGAAAAACUUUUACAAACUCUGCUUGCUCUUGUUGUUGUAAAUAUGUAAAGCCAGCACUCAAGGUUUCAACAAAGAUUAUGAACUAACCAUAUUCGCAAUAACACUCAGGUCUCAUGUUUACUCAUAUCAAUGGCAUAAUCAACUAGCGAGCUAUAAUAAUAAAACUCGGAUGACAACACUUUCUCAAAACAAUCAUAAUAUGGUAUAACAAAAUGGUAUCUCGCUAGCCCUUUCUGAGACCGCAAAACAUAAAUGCAGAGCACCUUUAAAGAUCAAGGACUGACUAAACAUUGUAAUUCAUGGUAAAAGAGAUCUAGUCAAGUCAUACCCAAUAUAAACUAAUAGGAAUGCAUAUAAAUGACAGUGUGCUCUCCAGCGGGUGCUUUUUAAUAAGAAGGUGAUGGCUCAACAUAAAAGUAAAUAGAUAGGCCCUUCGCAGAGGGAAGCAGGGAUUCGUAGAGGUGCCAGAGCUCGAUUUUAAAAUAGAGAUUGAAUAACAUUUUGGGCGGCAUACUUUCACUGUCAACGCAGCAACUAUGAGAUGGCGAUAUCUUCCAUACUACAUGCAUUAUAGGCAGUUCCCAAUUAGAAUGGUAAACGUUUAUACUCCCCCACAACCAACAAGCAUCAAUCCAUGGCUUGCUCGAAACAACGAGUGCCUCCAACUAACAACAACCCUGGAGUUUUGUUUAAUUAUAUUGAUUUGCUUUGAUCUUUUUGGAUCAUGGGACUGGGCAUCCCGGUUACCGACCCUUUCUUGUGAAUGAGGAGCGGAGUCCACUCCUCUUAAGAAUAGCCCACCUAGCAUGGAAGAUACAUGCAGCCCUAGUUGAAACAUGAGCUGCUCGAGCAUACAAAACAGAAUUUCAUUUGAAGGUUUGGAGUUUGGCACAGACAAAUUUACUUGGAACGGUAGGUAGAUACCGCAUAUUGGAAGGUAUGGUGGACUCAUGUGGAAUAACUUUGGGGUUUAUGGAGUUUGGAUGCAUAAGCAGUAUUCCCGCUUAGUACAGGUGGAGGCUAGCAAAAGACUGGGAAGCGACCAACUGAGAGAGCGACAACAGUCAUGAACAUGCACUAAAAUUAAUUUACACUAAGUGCAAGCAUGAGUAGGAUAUAAUCCACCAUGAACAUAAAUAUCGUGAAGGCUAUGUUGAUUUUGUUUCAACUACAUGCGUGAACAUGUGCCAAGUCGAGUCACUCAAUUCAUUCAAAGGAGGAUACCAUCUCAUCAUACCACAUCACAAUCAUUUUAAUAGCAUGUUGGCACGCAAGGUAAACCAUUAUAACUCAUAGCUAAUUAAGCAUGACAUAAGCAACUAUAAUCUCUAAAUGUCAUUGCAAACAUGUCUACUUCAUAAUAAGCUGAAUCAGGAACGAUGAACUCAUCAUAUUUACAAAAACAAAAGAGGUCGAGUUCAUACCAGCUUCUCUCAUCUCAAUCAGUCCAUUAUAUAUCGUCAUCAUUGCCUUUCACUUACACGAUCGAACGAUGUGUAUGAUAAUAAGAGUGUACAUGCAUUGGACUAAGCUAGAAUCUGCAAGCAUUCAUUUCAAGAGAGAAGACAAGGUAAUAUGGGCUCUAAAUUAAAUCCACAAUCAUGCAUAAGAGAGCCACUAAACAUUUUCAAUAUGGUCUUCUACUCUCAGCCCCCAAAGAAAGGAAAAAGAAAUAAAACUAUUUACACGGGAAAGCUCCCAACAAGUAAAAGAAGAACGAGAAAUCUUUGUGGUUUUUUUAAUUACUUCUACUACAAGCAUGAAAAUUAAACUAACUAUUUUUUGGGGUUUUUUAUAAGGUUUAUCAAACACACAAGAAGAAAACUAGAAAAAGAAUUUAAACUAGCAUGGAUAUAGUACAAUGAAAGAGUAUGGGCACCGACGACUAGAAUAGUGUGUAAACAUGAACGUAAAGUCGAUGGGAAAUAUGUACUCCCCCAAGCUUAGGCUUUUGGCCUAAGUUGGUUUAUGGCCAUGGAUAGCCUGACUGAUAUCCAUAGUUGUAACUGGGGUCGUACUGAGAUGCAGCAGUCAUUGCCUCCUCAGCUGCUGGCUGACGGCGGGCUGCUUCCGCCCUCCUCUCGUGUUCAUUUGCCCCCUCCCUAGUGACAAGAUAUAUUUGUUUUUGUAACAUCCCAAAAUUCUAAAAUUUGGAAUGUUAUAUUAAAUAGAUAGUUUGAUUGUUGGUUUGAUUGAUUGAGUGAAAUUUGAAACUUUUGAAAGUUAAAUGAGAGGGAAUAAAAGGACUUUCCCAAACUUUCACCUUUGCUUUCUGAUCUCCAUCGAUUAAAAUACUUUUCAAACACAAAACCCUGGAGUGAAGAUAAUAUGACUUCUUCCAUUUAAAUAAAUGAAAACGGGUUUUGAAAAGAUUUGAAUUUCAUUUGGAAAUAUUUUCAAAUUUAGAAACUUCAAGCAACUCAAUGAUUUUCAUGAUAGAAGAUAAAAUGACUUCUUCAAAACAUAUGAAAUAUGAGUUGGGAGUUUAAAACAAAUCCAAUUUAAAGCCCCGUUAAAAAUUAUUUUCAAUUAGGCCUUAUUUGGGUUUUAUUCAAAUUAUUUUUCUCCAAAAUAAAAUAUUUGGAAAAUAGGGUAACAUGAUUCCCUACAUCAGAAAAUUGGAGAGAAAUAAAUUUGAAAUCAUUUUGGUAUUUUUAAAAUGAUUUUUAUUGGAUUUUAUUGGACAAGUAGCACUCUUUGUUUUAUUUGAAUUAUUCUGGAUUUUAUUUGAAGUUAGAUUAAUGUUCAGCUUGUAGAAAAUGUUUUCCUGAAAAUUUGGAUAUACAAUAUGCUAUAGUAUAUGUUAGUUUAUUUGGUUUUUUCUGUAAAAAUAAAUGUUUUUUUUAAAACCUCUCCUCCGCCGCCGACUGGGCCGGCCCAGCCCCUGCCAGGCCACGGCCCAGCCCAGCUGCCAUCGUCACCGACCCCAGGAUGGAGUCCGCCCUGGGCACGCCACCGCUCGCCGCCGUACUCCGCCCGGAGUCCCCUUGUCGCCGUGCCCCCUCCUCCACGCCUCCCGAGGCCGUUUCCCCCCUCCAUAAAUAGCGCCGCCCCCUCUCUCUCACUCCUCCUCGCAUGGCGCCACCGUCCCCGCAUCUCACCGCCGCCGCCGCCGCCGGAGGCCGCAACCGCCGCCCUCGUCACCGUCAACCGCCGCCGACGCCACCCCCGCAACCGCCGCUCCACGCCGCCCCUCCCCGUGCCCUUCGCCGCCCUCCUGGACGAUCGGAGCCGCCCCCCCGGCCGGACCCGAGCCGCCGUCGCCGUUCCGGCUCGCCUUUGACCUCCACCGCCGCGGUGAGCCACCAGAAUCCCCUCGUCCGUCCGAUCGUAGAUCUAGGGCUAGAUUAGAUCGGUUAGUUUUUUUAGUUUUUUAUUUAUUCCGAACCGUUAUCCCUUAGUUAGAGGACGUUCGCUGUUUAGUCUAUGCAGCGAACAGUUUUCAGCCACUAACAAUCUGACACGUAGCUAGGGACUUUGUUGCAGUUAUUUUAUUUAGAGAUUAGCCCCUAGACUUCAAACCGUCACAUAUUUUACACCGUUUAUCCAAAUCCAACAAAACCAACACCCACUUCUUCAUUACGAUCCCCUCUAUCCAUUAAAACAACUUAAUCAUCUUUUGAGAGUUUUAAAAUUUCAAUUCAAACAUUUUAGUAUUUGAACUUCGUUUGAUCGUAACUCGAGUUCUAUAACUCAGUUUUAGUUGAUUCUCUUUGCAAAUUAAAGCUCUUGACGUAAACUUUCUGAUAAGGCCAAAUUCACUCAAUUUUGUUACUGUUAGAAAUUGUCUACUGUUGCAAGAGUUAUUUGCUUGGUUUCGAAGUUUUCCAAAUUGCUUUCUUUGUUCUUUCCGAUCUUUUGAGUGAUUGCUUAUGUGUGGUUACUAUUGUUUGCUUACAAUAGGUUGAACAGAGUGUGAUGAAUAGAACUAUCAGGAGUUGAGUGUGAAUCAUCUUCAUCAACAGUACAAGCAAGUUCACAGUUUGAUCAUAUCCCUUUCAUACCCAGUUUUUAUGCAUUAGUUUCACCCUCAAACAUUGCAUGGUUAGGAAUUGAUAACAUGUGGGUAUUGGGGAGUAGUUGAUGAGGUAGGAACCUAUUGCCCUGUUACUAUCAAACCCUUGGGAGUUACUUCUACGUUAUGCUUAUACUACAAUGCUAUGCUCGUAGACAUGGUUUGGCUUUGAGUGUUUUCCAUGACAUAUGUGAGAUUAUUACUUAAUGGUUCAACUGAAGGUGGCUACUUAAAUACACAUCUGGGUGGAUUGAGGCACUUGGAUAUUCCAGUGAUUGCCUGUUUUUUUAUGGACCGCCACCCAGGCUUAAAGGGAUCAUAAGAUUAUUCAUGCUAGAAACUUUCGUGUGCAGCCACAAGCUACUAUGGGCUCUAGCAUAGUUGAUUAAGUCGGGUGAACUCUUAUAGUGGUAGACUAGCAGAUGUAGGGGAAAGUAGGUGUAAUGGUCUACCCAUCGUAAGGUGUAAACGCUUCUGAAAGACUAUGUCUCGGUCAUCCAUUUCUCAAACACCAUGUAGUGCAAGAAAACUAACGGAGGAGAUCGAGUCUUGUGGGGAAAAGUGUGCAAACCUCUGCAGAGUGUACAAACUAAUCAUGAUUAGCCGUGUCCCCGGUUAUGGACAUCUUGAGUAUCUGGCUCUUGGAUUAUCAUGUUGAUCUCAUCAGGUUACUUAAUAUAAUUUGUUGGGUUGUUAAUGAUUACUUUUAAUUGGGAUUGAGAGGGGGUUUACCUUCUCAAUGUUUUCAAACAACUGUGUAGUUAAAUAAAAUUUUAUUCCUUUGCAGUUGGGAAAAAUUGGCUUUUCGCAUAAACAUUAGAACCAUAGAGCUUUUCCACCAGCCAUAUAUGCAUGUAGAGAUAGCUUUUAUUCAUCAUUCAUCCUAUGGUGUGAAUUUGCCAGUACAUUCAAUGUACAGACCUACAUGGCUGGAACGUCUCAUGUUGCAGGGUUUCUUACGACGAGUAAGUGAUACGUUAGGGUUACGAUUUCUACACUCAGCUUUGCCGUUGGUGUUGACGGGAAUUCACAACCUUGUUGUUACUUCCGCUAUUUGGAUUGAGGUAAUUGUAUUUACGUUCUUUAUACAUGUGAUUUACCUCUGUUAUAAAUCCUCGAGUACUGUGUGUGUUAGCAUACCGAUCCAGGGAUGACACUUAAGCACAGAGACUUGAUCCAUUCGGGUCGGGUUGCUACAAGAUGGUACCAGAGCACAUGUUGACUGUAGGACGUGACCCUAGAGACUGGCAAUCCCCUAGGAAAGAUUUUCCCUACUACUUUAUUUUCAAAAAGAUCUUUUACUUCUCUUCUCUUCUGAGCUUGUUCAAAUAUUCCCUUUUAGUUAGACCAUACCCUUUCCCCUUUUGACCACAUGAAGAUUCGGCUGAUGAGACCACUCCAAGGAGUACAAGAUAUCGAGCAACUAAGACUACUUUGGAAUGAAGAGGAUUUUACCGUGUACUAUUAUAAUGGAAACUACAACAGUUGAAGACAUUGAAGACUGGAGAAUUUGAAAGCUUUGAAGAUUUUCCAGAUUUGUACGACCUAGGAAGGUUACCUUAUAGAACUUGGCAGACUAAGGAAGUUGUCAAUAUCCGAGAUCAAGGUAUAUCGGAGAAAGACCAGAACAUGGAGCUUUAGAACUCAAAGUUUUUGUUAAGAAAAACCCUAAGACAGGAGGUAUCAAUUAUGGAAUGAAAGCUCAUGGCAGUAACAUGGGCAUAGGCACGGAUUACCAUGGUGUUAUCGCCUGCUUAUGCUAUUGUCACCAUGCUGAGUUAAGCAUGCAUUUCUUCGGAAGGAUUGGAUGGUAGAAGGCUGAUGGAGCAUCUGUCAGCAAAGGAUGCAGUUUUAACGUAGAUGGUGUAUCACCAGGAUCUAGAGAAUUACAUCAGGAGUUUUAAGAUGGAUCUUCAAGAAGCCGUAUUUGACAAGGAAGUAGUUCGUGAAGAACCCAGGAACCAGAAGCUGAAAGUAGCCAAGCUGGAGGAGCUAAACCUCAAGAUACCAGAGAUUCGUCAGGAGCUGAAGGAUAGAAGGACAUGGUUCAUGCCAAGGAUGUUGAAACCCAGAAGUUUGGAACGCAACUCCAGAAAUAUUAAAGGACGUCAUGAGAGACUUCGCGUCAACAAAGAUGAUCUGGCAAAAGAACUUGAUAAGGACAAGCACGAUCGGAAGAAGCCAUCGGAGACAUGAACAGGACUGGAAGAGUUUGGUGACGUUGAAGAUUUAUUGACCACUAGAAGACCAAACCCCAUUAUACCUACGUUAGAUGCGAUGUUUGUGAGCUGUCUUUUGUUUGUUGUUUUUCCGACAGCCACAAAAUAAAAUGCCCUUUUCAAAUAUAUUUGUUUGUAUCCCUCUCUAUCUAUCUUAUCUCACCCCAAAACUCCUAGACCCAAUAGAGGAUGAAUGGAGAUAAGAUCAUAUUAUCUGGACCGAUGAGUCAAUUGGAGACGGACUGAUGGAUUCAGAACAUGGAGGAUCACAUGAAGAACAACCCUAUAGCCAGAAAGGAUAUGGCCCAACAUGCUUUUCAAUGCUUUGAAAGAGGUGCUGCUACUUGGUGGACGAUAUACCAAACCAUCAAUGGAUGGCAAGGAGUAACCACUUAGGAAGAAUUUAAGUUGACUUUGCCAGAGUCUCAGUUUAUGUCCCAGAGAUUGGAGCCCCAUGGAAAUGAUAUGAAGAAAUCGUGUGCUUGCAAGCUCUAUGGAGAAAUAGGACACGACCAUAAAGAACACCAGGAUGAAUGCCCUAAUGGUGAAGGAAGUCACCCAGCUGAAGAAUACCCAACUAGGCAGAUUACUUGUUUCUUGUGUGAAGGAACUACCCACUACCCUGCUUAGUGUCACAUUUACCACAUGGUACAAAGAACCAUCCAGCAGAAGAAAGAAGCAAUGAAAGGAGCCCUCAUGGAAAUUUUAGGAGACCAAGUAAUGAAGGAAGAGGUGGAGGACACACCCGAAGAAAACCCAAUGAAACCCUGCGCCAAGUCUUGCUAUUCAUGUGGAGAAGGACACAUCCCCCAAAAAUGUCUGAAUGGGGAUCUAAUAGAAUUCCCGACAGAGGAAUUAGAGUAUGACCCACAGGAAAUAGAAGCCCUGAUUGGAACGGAAAAGUCCAGGAAGAGAAAUAGAUUGGAUUCCAGGAAGGACCUGAGCCAUAUCACCUGUUUCAGGUGCAAGGAGUCAGGGCACUACUUCAGCUGUUGCCCAAAAAGGAAGCCUAGGACCCAAGGAGGCUAUGUAAUCACAAGGAAACUUCGAGACUUGUCAGAAGUGGUAUGUUACCGUUGUAAUGAAGUAGGGAACUUUGCCAGAGAUUGUCCCAAAGAGAAGGAGACUUGUGCUAAAUAGUUGAGUUAGCAACGAAAGAAAUAUAGUGGUAGUAGUGGGAACAGUUCUUUUACAUUGAGGCGACGAGUUGAGGCAUGUACUGGAAAAUCAAGUGAUUGUAAUCAUUGGAGAAUCCAUAAAGUUAGCAUCAUUGGUAAAGAUUUGGAUUUUAUGAGCAGUGACUGUAUGAAGGAAGAUUUUGACUAUUUUCGAGGAUAUGAGAAAUAUGGUCUAUGGAUAAAUUUGUGCAUUUCAAGGGUGGUAGUAAUUGUGAGAACCCUUGACCCCGGUAAAGAAAGUGAUAUUCCACGAUGUGGACUUCAGACAAAAUAAGUACGAGUUUUGUCGCAAUAUGUGGGAUAUCCCAAGAGUAAGAAGGGAUGAAGUACUAUUGGAUAUGGAGGUAUAAUGUUGGUAGUAUGGAGCAAGUGUAACUCCAUGAUGAGUUUGAGUAAUCAGUCAUAGUGUGAUACCAAUAGAAGGAAGGAAGGAAGACAGUACAAUUGGAUGGAUUUAAGAAUACUAGGAAGUUGGAUGUUGGGAUAAUGAUCCGUUGCCCCAAGAAUGAGUUCAAGGUUUGCAAGUGAUGAGAUGGGCCAUAACCCACAGGCCCCAGGACCUACCAAGAAUCAAGCACACUCUUGCUAAAGGAAAAACCCUAGAAGAAGGUAUGCCUUUACCAACAGACGAUCUUAUAGGAGUUUACGCAAAACCUGAGAGUUGUAAAAGGAACGAUAGAUGUUGGUUUGGCUCGCAGAAUCAAUGGAAUUAUCUGAACUUGGUUCAUCGACAAGAGAAAUUGUACAAUGCUUGUGAGGAUGACCGAGUGUUAGAAUGCGAGAUUCGCUAAACCGUAUACAAGGUAAUGAUUUGGGUGCGGGAUGGAUUGAUCACCAUACCGACUUACUCUUAUUAUUCGCUUUGCUAUCUGGGAUGGUAAAUCUGAGUGACUUACCUAUAGUAGAGAGAUGACGAUCAAAACAUUGUUUAAACCUUAGAAUGGUAUGACGUUUUUCCCUUGUACAAGGCAGUUGUUGCCAAUCGUAGGAUAUACUAUGAGGUUCAACCCAGACCCGUUUUCUGCAGGAGAAACCAUAAAUGGUUGACCACCAUGAGAUAUCGAUAGUUGUUUAGUAUUGGCGCCAGACCCGUUAGCUAAGAAGACCCAGUCUCGGAAUAACCGUACCAAUAUGAAAAGGAUACAAGGAUUGAGGAAAAAGGUUAUGCCAUUACCGGAAGAGCCACAGAAGGAAUUAUACUGAAGAUCUGAGAAGACUGACACUGUCAGGAAUAAGCAUGGAGUAUAUGAGUUCUGAUGGAACAAUGACAAUGCUUUUAAGGGUGGUAGCACCCCAGACCCCCUGAGAUGAUCGAUGGAUUUUGAGAAGACCCCAAACCUAACCUAUUUCUUUCUAGCCUCUCCGAAUCUCGAGGACGAGAUUCAUUUUAAGGGUGGUAGGUUUGUAACAUCCCAAAAUUCUAAAUUUUGGAAUGUUAUAUUAAAUAGAUAGUUUGAUUGUUGGUUUGAUUGAUUGAGUGAAAUUUGAAACUUUUGAAAGUUAAAUGACAGGGAAUAAAAGGACUUUCCCAAUCUUUCACCUUUGCUUUCUGAUCUCCAUCGAUUCAAAUACUUUUCAAACACAAAACCCUGGAGUGAAGAUAAUAUGACUUCUUCCAUCUAAAUAAAUGAAAAAGGGUUUUGAAAAGAUUUGAAUUUCAUUUGGGAAUAUUUUCAAAUUCAAAAACUUCAAGCAACUCAAUGAUUUUCAUGAUAGAAGAGAAAAUGACUUAUUCAAAACCCAUGAAAUAUGAGUUGGGAGUUUAAAAGAAAUCCAAUUUAAAGCCCCGUUGAAAAUUAUUUCCAAUUCGGCCUUAUUUGGGUUUUAUUCAAAUUAUUUUUCUCCAAAAAUAAAAUAUUUGGAAAAUAGGGUAACAUGAUUCCCUACAUCAGCAAAUUGGAAAGAAAUAAAUUUGAAAUCAUUUUGGUAUUUUAAAAAUGAUUUUUAUUGGACAAGUAGCACUCUUUGUUUUAUUUGAAUUAUUGUGGAUUUUAUUUGAAGUUAGAUUAAUGUUCAGGUUGUAGAAAAUGUUUUUCUGGAAAUUUGGAUAUAUAAUAUGCCUAUAGUAUAUUUUAGUUUAUUUGGUUUUUUUUCUGUAGAAAUAAAUGUUUUUUUUAAAACCUCUCCUCCGCCGCCGACUAGGCCGGCCCAGCCCCUGCCACGCCGCGGUCCAGCCCAGCUGCCAUCGUCACCGACCCCAGGACGGAGUCCGCCCUGGGCACGCCACCGCUCGCCGCCGUACUCCGCCCGGAGUCCCCUCGUUGUCGUGCCCCCUCCUCCACGCCUCCCGAGGACGUUUCCCCCCUCCAUAAAUAGCGUCCCCCCUCUCUCUCUCUCCUUCUCGGAUGGCGCCGCCGUCCCCGCAUCUCACCGCCGCCGCCGCCGGAGGCCGCAGCCGCCGCCCUCGUCGCCGUCGACCGCCGCUGACGCCACCCCCGCAACCACCGCUCCACGCCGCCCCUCCCCGUGCCCUUCGCCGCCCUCCUCGACGACCGAAGCCGCCGCCCCGGCCAGACCUGAGCCGCCACCGCCGUUCCGGCUCGCCGUUGACCUCCACCGCCGCGGUGAGCCACCGGAAUCCCCUCAUCCUUCCGAUCGUAGAUCUAGGGCUAGAUUAGAUCGAUUAGUUUUUUUUACUUUUUAUUUAUUUCGAACCGUUAUCCCUUAGUUAGAGGAUGUUCGCUGUUUAGUCUAUGCAGCGAACAGUUUUCAGCCACUAACAAUCUGACACCUAGCUAGGGACCUAGUUGCAGUUAUUUUAUUUACAGAUUAGCCCCUGGACUUCAAAUCCUCACAUAUUUUACACCGUUUAUCCAAAUCCAACGAAACCAACACCCAAUUCUUCAUUACGAUCCCCUCUAUCCAUUAAAACAACUUAAUCAUCUUUUUGAAAGUUUUAAAAUUUGAAUUCAAACAGUUUAGUAUUUGAACUUCCUUUGAUCGUAACUCGAGUUCUAUAACUCCGUUUUAGUUGAUUCUUUUUGCAAAUUAAAGCUCUUGACCUAAACUUUCCGAUAAGGCCAAAUUCACUCAAUUUUGGUAAGAAAUGUAUACUGUUGCAAGAGUUAUUUGCUUGGUUUUGAAGUUUUCCGAAUUGCUUUCUUUGUUCUUUCCUAUCUUUUUAGUGAUUGCUUAUGUGUGGUUACUAUUGUUUGCUUACGAUAGAUUGAACAGAGUGUGACGAAUAGAACUAUCAGGAGUUGAGUGUGAAUCAUCUUCAUCAAUAGUACAUGCAAGUUCACACUUUGAUCAUAUCCCUUUCAUACCCAAUUUUUAUGCAUUAGUUUCACCCUCAAACAUUGCAUGGUUAGGAAUUGAUAACAUGUGGGUAUUGGGGAGUAGUUGAUGAGGUAGGAACCUAUUACCCUGUUACUAUCAAACCCUUGGGAGUUACUUCUACGUUAUGCUUAUACUGCAAUGCUAUGCUCGUAGACGUGGUUUGGGUUUGAGUGUUUUCCAUGACAGAUGUGAGAUUGUUACUUAAUGGUUCAACUUAAGGUGGCUACUUAAAUACACGUCUAGGUGGAUUGAGGCACCUGGGUAUUCCAGCGAUUGCCUGUUUUUUAUGAACCGCCACCCAGGCUCAAAGGGAUCAUAAGAUUAUUCAUGCUAGAAACUUCUGAGUGCAGCCACAAGCUACUAUGGGCUCUAGCAUAGUUGAUUAAGUCGGGUGAACUCUUACAGUGGUAGACUAGUAGAUGUAGGGGAAAGUAGGUGUAACGGUCUGCCCAUCGUUAGGUGUAAACGCUUCUGAAAGACUAUGUCUCGGUCAUCCGUUUCUCAAACACCAUGUAGUGCGAGAAAACCAACGAAGGAGAUCGAGUCUUGUGGGGAAAAGUGCGCAAACCUCUACAGAGGGUACAAACUAAUCAUGAUUAGCCGUGUCCCCAGUUAUGGACAUCUUGAGUAUCUGGUUCUUGGAUUAUCAUGUUGAUCUCAUCAUGUUACUUAAUAUAAUUUGUUGGGUUGUUAAUGAUUACUUUUAAUUGGGAUUGAGAGGGGGUUUACCUUCUCAAUGUUUUCAAACAACUGUGUAGUUAAAUAAAAUUGUAUUCCUUUGCAGUAGGGAAAAAUUGGCUUUUCGCAAAAACAUUAUAACCAUAGAGCUUUUCCACCUGCCAUAUAUGCAUGUAGAGAUAGCUUUUAUUCAUCAUUCAUCCUAUGGUGUGAAUUUGCCAGUACAUUCAAUGUACUGACCUACAUGGCUGCAACGUCUCAUGUUGCAGGAUUUCUUACGACGAGCGAUUUCUACACUCAACUUUGCCGUUGGUGUUGAUGGGAAUCCACAACCUUGUUGUUACUUCCGCUAUUUGGUUUGACGUAAUUGUAUUUACGUUCUUUAUACAUGUGAUUUGCGUCUGUUAUAAAUCCUCGAGUACUGUGUGUGUCAGCAUACCGAUUCAGGGAUGACACUUAAGCAUAGAGACUUGAUCCAUUCGAGUCGGGUCGCUACAAGAUGGUACUAGAGCACAUGUUGACUGUAGGACGUGACCCUAGAGACUGGCAAGCCCCUAGGAAAGAUUUUCCCUACUACUUUAUUUUCAAAAAGAUCUUUUACUUCUCUUCUCUUUUGAGCUGAUUCAAAUAUUCCCUUUUAGUUAGACCAUACCCUUUCCCCUUUUGACCACAUGAAGAUUCGGCUGAUGAGACCACUCCAAGGAGUACAAGAUAUCGAGCAACUAAGACUACUUUGGAAUGAAGAGGAUUUUACCGUGUACUAUUAUAAUGGAAACUACAAUGGUUGAAGACAUCGAAGACUCGAGAAUUUGAAAGCUUUGAAGAUUUUCCAGAUUUGUAUGACCUAGGAAGGCUACCUUAUAGAACUUGGUAGUCUAAGGAAGUUGUCAAUAUCUGAGAUCAAGGUAUAUCGGAGAAAGACCGGAACAUGGAGCUUUAGAACUCAAAGUUUUUGUUAAGAAAAACCCUAAGAUAGGAGGUAUCAAUUAUGGAAUGAAAGCUCAUGGCAGUAACAUGGGCAUAGGCACGGAUUACCAUGGUGUUAUCACCCGCUUAUGAUAUUGUCACCAUGCUGAGUUAAGCAUGUAUUUCUUCGGAAGGAUUGCAUGGUAGAAAGCUGAUGGAGCAUCUGUCAGCAAAGGAUGCAUUUUUAACGUAGCUGGUGUAUUACCAGGAUCUGGAGAAUUACAUCAGGAGUUUUAAGAUGGAUCUUCUGGAAGCCGUAUUUGACAAGGAAGCAGUUUGUGAAGAACCCAGGAACCAGAAGCUGAAAGUAGCCAAGCUGGAGGAGCUAAACCUCGAGAUACCAGAGGUUCGUCAGGAGCUGAAGGAUAGAAGGACAUGGUUCAUGCCAAGGAUGUUGAAACCCAGAAGUUUGGAACGCAACUCUAGAAAUAUUAAAGGACGUCAUGAGAGACUUCGCGUCAACAGAGAUGAUCUGGCAAAAGAACUUGAUAAGGACAAGCACGAUCGGAAGAAGCCAUCGGAGACAUGAACAAGACUGGAAGAGUUUGGUGACGUUGAAGAUUUAUAUACCACUAGAAGACCAAACCCCAUUAUUCCUACGUUAGAGGUGAUGUUUGUGAGUUGUCUUUUGUUUGUUGUUUUUCCGACAGCCACAAAAUAAAAUGCCCUUUUCAAAUAUAUUUGUUUGUAUCCCUCUCUAUGUCUCUUAUCUCACCCCAAAACCCCUAGACCCAAUAGAGGAUGAAUGGAGAUGAGAUCAUAUUAUCUGGAUCGAUGAGUCAAUUGGAGAGGGACCGAUGGAUUCAAAACAUGGAGGAUCACAUGAAGAACAACCCUAUAGCCGGAAAGGAUAUGGCCCAACAUGCUCUUCAAUGCUUUGAAAGAGGUGCUGCUACUUGGUGGACGAUAUACCAAACCAUCAAUGGAUGGCAAGGAGUAACCACUUAGGAAAAAUUUAAGUUGACUUUGCCAAAGUCUCGGUUUAUGUCCCAGAGAUUGGAGCCCCAUGGAAAUGAUAUGAAGAAAUCGUGUGCUUGCAAGCUCUGUGGAGAAAUAGGACACGACCAUAGAGAACACCAGGAUGAAUGCCCUAAUGGUGAAGGAAGUCACCCAGCUGAAGAAUACCCAACUAGGCAGAUUACUUGUUUCUUGUGUGAAGGAACUACCCACUACCCUGCUUAGUGUCACAUUUACUCCAUGGUACAAAGAACCAUCCAGCAGAAGAAAGAAGCAAUGAAAGGGGCCCUCAUGGAAAUUUUAGGAGACCAAGUAAUGAAGGAAGAGGUGGAGGACACACCCGAAGAAAACCCAAUGAAACCCUGCGCCAAGUCUUGCUAUUCAUGUGGAGAAGGACACAUCUCCCAAAAUUGUCUGAAUGGGGAUCUAAUAGAAUUCCCGACAGAGGAAGUAGAGUAUGACCCACAGGAAGUAGAAGCCCUGAUUGGAACGGAAAAGUCUAGGAAGAGAAGUAGAUUGGAUUCCAGGAAGGACCUGAGCCAUAUCAUCUGUUUCAGGUGCAAGGAGUCAGGGCACUACUUCAGCCGUUGCCCAAAAAGGAAUCCUAGGACCCAAGGAGGCUAUGUAAUCACAAGGAAACUUCGAGACUUGUCAAAAGUAGUAUGUUACCGUAGUAAUGAAGUAGGGAACUUUGCCAGAGAUUGGCCCAAAGAGAAGGAGACUUGUGCUAAAUAGUGGAGUUAGCAACGAAAGAAAUAGAGUGGUAGUAGUGGGAACAAUUCUUUUACAUUGAGGCGAUGAGUUGAGGCAUGUAAUGGAAAAGCAAGUGAUUGUAAUCAUUGGAGAAUCAAUAAACUUAGCAUCGUUGGUAAAGAUUUGGAUUUUAUGAGCAGUGACUGUAUGAAGGAAGAUUUUGACUAUUUUCGAGGAUAUGAGAAAUAUGGUCUAUGGAUAAAUUUGUGCAUUUCAAGGGUGGUAGUAAUUGUGAGAACCCUUGACCCUGGUAAAGAAAGUGAUAUUCCACGAAGUGGACUUCGAACAUCAUAAGUACGAGUUUUGUCGCGCUAUGUGGGAUAUCCUAAGAGUAAGAAGGGAUGAAGUACUAUUGGAUAUGGAGGUAUAAUGUUGGUAAUAUGGAGCAAGUGUAACUCCAUGAUGAGUUUGAGUAAUCACGUCAUAGUGUGAUACCAAUAGAAGGAAGGAAGGAAGACAGUACAAUUGGAUGGAUUUAAGAAUACUAGGAAGUUGGAUGUUGGGAUAAUGAUCUGUUGCCCCAAGAAUGAGUUCAAGGUUUGCAAGUGAUGAGAUGGGCCAUAACCCACAGGCCCCAGGACCUACCAAGAAGCAAGCACACUCUUGCUAAAGGAAAAACCCUAGAAGAAGGUAUGCCUUUAUCAACAGACGAUCUUAUAGGAGUUUACGCAAAACCUUAGAGUUGUAAAGGAACGAUAGAUGUUGGUUUGGCUUGAGAAUCAAUGGAAUUAUCCGAACUUGGUUCGUCGACAAGAGAAAUUCUGCAAUGCUUGUGAGGAUGACCGAGUGUUAGAAUCCGAGAUUCAUUAAACCGUAUACAAGGUAAUGAUUUUGGUGCGGGAUGGAUUGAUCACCAUACCUACCUACUCUUAUUAUUCGCUUUGCUAUGUGGGAUGGUAAAUCUGAGUGACUUACCUAUAGUAGAGAGACGACGAUCAAAACCUUGUUUAAACCUUAGAAUGGUAUGACGCUUUUCCCUUGUACAAGGCAGUUGUUGCCAAUCGUAGGAUAUACGGUGAGGUUCAACCCAGACCCAUUUUCUGCAGGAGAAACCAUAAAUGGUUGACCACCAUGAGAUAUCGAUAGUUGUUUAGUAUUGGCGCCAGACCCGUCAGCUAAGAAGACCCAGUCUCGGAAUAACCGUACCAAUAUGAAAAGGAUACAAGGAUUGAGGAAAAAGGUUAUGCCAUUAUCGGAAGAGCCACAGAAGGAAUUAUACUGAAGAUCUGAGAAGACUGACACUGUCAGGAAUAAGCAUGGAGUAUAUGAGUUUUGACGGAACAGUAACAAUGCUUUUAAGGGUGGUAGCACCCCAGACCCCCUGAGAUGAUCGAUGGAUUUUGUGAAGACCCCAAACCUAACCUAUUUCUUGCUAGCCUCUCCAAAUCUCGAGGACGAGAUUCAUUUUAAGGGUAGUAGGUUUGUAACAUCCCAAAAUUCUAAAUUUUGGAAUGUUAUAUUAAAUAGAUAGUUUGAUUGUUGGUUUGAUUGAUUGAGUGAAAUUUGAAACUUAUGAAAGUUAAAUGAGAGGGAAUAAAAGGACUUUCCCAAUCUUUCACCUUUGCUUUUUGAUCUCCAUGUAUUCAAAUACUUUUCAAACACAAAACCCUGGAGUGAAGAUAAUAUGACUUCUUCCAUUUAAAUAAAUGAAAAAGGGUUUUGAAAAGAUUUGAAUUUCAUUUGGAAAUAUUUUCAAAUUUCAGAAACUUCAAGCAACUCAAUGAUUUUCAUGAUAGAAGAUAAAAUGACUUCUUCAAAACAUAUGAAAUAUGAGUUGGGAGUUUAAAUGAAAUCCAAUUUAAAGCCCCGUUGAAUAUUAUUUUCAAUUUGGCCUUAUUUGGGUUUUAUUCAAAUUAUUUUUCUCCAAAAAUAAAAUAUUGGAAAAUAGGGUAACAUGAUUCCCUACAUCAGAAAAUUGGAGAGAAAUAAAUUUGAAAUCAUUUUGGUAUUUUUAAAAUGAUUUUUAUUGGAUUUUAUUGGACAAGUAGCACACUUUGUUUAUUUGAAUUAUUGUGGAUUUUAUUUGAAGUUAGAUUAAUGUUCAGGUUGUAGAAAAUGUUUUUCUAAAAAAAUGGAUAUAUAAUAUGCCUAUAGUAUAUUUUAGUUUAUUUCGUUUUUUUCUGUACAAAUAAAUGUUUUUUUAAAACCUCUCUUCCGCCGCCGACUGGGCCGGCCCAGCCCCUGCCAAGCUGGCCCAACCCAGCUGCCAUCGUCACCGACGCGAGGACGGAGUCCGCCUUGGGCACGCCACCACUCGCCGCCGUACUCCGCCCGGAGUCCCCUCGUCGCCGUGCCCCCUCCUCCACGCCUCCCGAGGCCGUUUCCCCCCUCCAUAAAUAGCGCCACCCUCUGUCUCUCUCCUCCUCCUCGCAUGGCGCCGCCGUCGCCGCAUCUCACCGCCGCCGCCGCCGCCGGGGGCCACAGCCGCCGCCCUCGUUGCCGUCGACCGCCGCCGACGCCAACCCCGCAACCGCCGCUCCACGCCGCCCCUCCCCAUGCCCUUCGCCGCCCUCCUGGACGACCGGAGCCGCCGCCCCGGCCGGCCCUGAGCCGCCGCCACCGUUCCGGCUCGCCGUUGACCUCCACCGCCGCGGUGAGCCACCAGAAUCCUCUCGUGCGUCCGAUCGUAGAUCUAGGGCUAGAUUAGAUCGGUUAGUUUUUUUUACUUUUUUAUUUAUUUCGAACCAUUAUCCCUUAGUUAGAGGACGUUCGCUGUUUUGUCUACGGAGCGAACAGUUUUCAGCCACUAACAAUCUUCACACGUAGCCAGGGGCCUAGUGGCAGUUAUUUUAUUUACAGAUUAGCCCCUGGACUUCAAACCCUCACAUAUUUUUACACCGUUUAUCCAAAUCCAACAAAACCAACACCCACUUCUUCGUUACGAUCCCCUCUAUCUAUUAAAACAACUUAAUCAUGUUUUUGAAAGUUUUAAAAUUUGAAUUCAAACAUUUUAGUAUUUGAACUUCGUUUGAUCGUAACUCGAGUUCUAUAACUCCGUUUUAGUUGAUUCUUUUUGCAAAUUAAAGCUCUUGACCUAAACUUUCUGAUAAGGAGAAAUUCACUCAGUUUUGGUACUGUUAGAAAUUGUCUACUAUUGCAAGAGUUAUUUUCUUGGUUUCGAAUUUUUCUGAAUUGCUUUCUUCAUUCUUUCCGAUCUUUUGAGAGUUGGUUUAUGUGUGGUUACUAUUGUUUGCUUACGAUAGAUUGAACGGAGUGUGACGAAUAGAACUAUCAGGAGUUGAGUGCAAAUCAUCUUCAUCAACAGUACAUGCAAGUUCACACUUUGAUCAUAUCCCUUUCAUACCCAGUUUUUAUGCAUUAGUUUCACCCUCAAACAUUGCAUGGUUAGGAAUUGAUAACAUGUGGGUAUUAGGGAGUAGUUUAUGAGGUAGGAACCUAUUGCCCUGUUACUAUCAAACCCUUGGGAGUUACUUCUAUGUUAUGCUUAUACUGCAACGCUAUGCUCGUAAACGUGGUUUGGGUUUGAGUGUUUUCCAUGACAGAUGUGAGAUUGUUACUUAAUGGUUCAACUUAAGGUGGCUACUUAAAUAAACAUCUAGGUGGAUUGAGGCACCUGGGUAUUCUAGCGAUUGCCUGUUUUUAUGGACCGCCACCCAGGCUCAAAGGGAUCAUAAGAUUAUUCAUGCUAGAAACUUUCGUGUGCAGCCACAAGCUACUAUGGGCUCUAGCAUAGUUGAUUAAGUUGGGUGAACUCUUACAGUGGUAGACUAGCAGAUGUAGGGGAAAGUAGGUGUAAUGGUCUACCCAUCGUAAGGUGUAAACGCUUCUGAAAGACUAUGUCUCGGUCAUCCGUUUCUCAAACACCAUGUAGUGCAAGAAAACCAACGGAGGAGAUCGAGUCUUGUGGGGAAAAGUGCGCAAACCUCUGCAGAGUGUACAAACUAAUCAUUAUUAGCAGUGUCCCCGGUUAUGGACAUCUUGAGUAUCUGGUUCUUGGAUUAUCAUGUUGAUCUCAUCAUGUUACUUAAUAUAAUUUGUUGGGUUGUUAAUGAUUACUUUUAAUUGGGAUUGAGAGGGGGUUUACCUUCUCAAUGUUUUCAAACAACUGUGUAGUUAAAUAAAAUUUUAUUCCUUUGCAGUAGGAAAAAAUUGGCUUUUCGCAAAAAACAUUAUAACCAUAGAGCUUUUCCACCAGCCAUAUAUGCAUGUAGAGAUAGCUUUUAUUCAUCAUUCAUCCUAUGGUAUGAAUUUUCCAGUACAUUCAAUGUACUGACCUACAUGGCUGCAACGUCUCAUGUUGCAGGAUUUCUUACGACGAGUAAGUGAUACGUUAGGGUUACGAUUUCUACACUCAACUUUGCCGUUGGUGUUGAUGGGAAUCCACAAUCUUGUUGUUACUUCCGCUAUUUGGAUUGAGGUAAUUAUAUUUACGUUAUUUAUACAUGUGAUUUACCUCUGUUAUAAAUCCUCGAGUACUGUGUGUGUCAGCAUACCGAUCCAGGGAUGACACUUAAGCACAGAGACUUGAUCCAUUCGGGUCGGGUCGCUACAAGAUGGUACCAGAGCACAUGUUGACUGUAGGACGUGACCCUAGAGAUUGGCAAUCCCCUAGGAAAGAUUUUCCCUACUACUUUAUUUUCAAAAAGAUCUUUUACUUCUCUUCUCUUCUGAGCUUGUUCAAAUAUUCCCUUUUAGUUAGACCAUACCCUUUCCCCUUUUGACCACAUGAAGAUUCGGCUGAUGAGACCACUCCAAGGAGUACAAGAUAUCGAGCAACUAAGACUACUUUGGAAUGAAGAGGAUUUUACCGUGUACUAUUAUAAUGGAAACUACAAUGGUUGAAGACAUCGAAGACUCGAGAAUUUGAAAGCUUUGAAGAUUUUCUAGAUUUGUAUGACCUAGGAAGGCUACCUUAUAGAACUUGGUAGACUAAGGAAGUUGUCAAUAUCCGAGAUCAAGGUAUAUCGGAGAAAGACCAGAACAUGGAGCUUUAGAACUCAAAGUUUUUGUUAAGAAAAACCCUAAGACAGGAGGUAUCAAUUAUGGAAUGAAAGCUCAUGGCAGUAACAUGGGCAUAGGCACGGAUUACCAUGAUGUUAUCUGUCACGCCCUCGAUGCGGCUAUAUCUCCCACGUGUCGAAGCACGACUUAGAGGCAUAACCGCAUUGAAAGCAAUGUCGCAAGUGAGGUAAUCUUCACACAACCCAUGUAAUACACAAGGGAAAGAGAUACAUAGUUGGCUUACAAUCGCCACUUCACACAAUUACAUGAAUAAAGCAUUACAUCAUCCAGAUACAAUCAAGGUCCGACUACGGAACCAAAAUAAAAGAAGAACCCCAAAUGCGACAAAGGUCCCCGAUCGACCCCAACUGGGCUCCACUACUGAUCAACUAGAACGAAACAACACAAAGGGCAAGAUCUUCAUCGAGCUCCUCCUUGAGCUUGGUUGCGUCAUCUGCACGGUAACAUAGGCACCUGCAAACUGGUUUUGGAAGUAUCUGUGAGCCACGGGGACUCAGCAAUCUCGCACCCGCGAGAUCAAGACUAUUUAAGCUUAUAGGAAGGAUGGAGUAAUGAGGUGGAGCUGCAGCAAGCGACUAGCAUAUAUGGUGGCUAACAUACGCAAAUGAGAGCGAGAAGAGAAGGCAAAGCACGGUCGAUAAAAGUAUGAUCAAGAAGUGAUCCUAUAGCAACCUACGUCAAGCAUAACUCCAACACCGUGUUCACUUCCCGGACUCCGCCGGAAAGAGACCAUCACGGUUACACACACGGUUGAUGUGUUUUAAUUAAGGUCAACUUCAGGUUUUCUACAACCGGACGUUAACAAAUUCCCAUCUGCCCAUAACCGCGGGCACGGCUUUCGAAAGUUCAAAUCCCUGCAGGGUGUCCCAACUUAGCCCAUCACAAGCUCUCACGGUCAACGAAGGAAUAGACCUCCACCCGAGACAUUCCGAUCAGACUCGGUAUCCCGGUACAACAAGACAUUUCGACAGGGUAAAACUAAACCAGCAACACCGCCCGAAUGUGCCGACAAAUCCCGAUAGGAGCUGCACAUAUCUCUUUCUCAGGGCACACUCACAUGAGCGCUCCGUACAACUAAAACCAAACCUCGAGUUUCCCCGAGGGGGCACUGCACAGGACUCUAGUUUGGACCAACACUCAGAGGAGCACUGGCCCGGGGGGUAAAAUAAUGAUGACCCUCAGGAGCGCGACUCCCAAGGGAAAAGAAAAGGCUAGGUGGCAAAUGGUAAAACCAAUGUUGGGCAUUGCUGGAAGAGCUUUACUUAAGGCAAACUGUCAAGGGGUUCCCAUUAUAGCCCAACCGCGUAAGGGACGCAAAAUCCGGGAACAUAACACCGAUAUGACGGAAACUAGGGCGGCAAGAGUGGAACAAAACACCAGGCAUAAGGCCGAGCCUUCCACCCUUUACCAAGUAUAUAGAUGCAUUAAUUAAAUAAGAUAUAUUGUGAUAUCCCAACAAGUAAUCAUGUUCCAACAAGGAACAACAUCUCCAUGUUCCAACAAGGAACAAACUUCAAACUUCACCUGCAACUAACAACGCUAUAAGAGGGGCUGAGCAAAGCGGUAACAUAGCCAAUCAACGGUUUGCUAGGACAUGGUGGGUUAGAGGUUUGACAUGGCAAUUUGGGAGGCUGACAAGCAAAUGGUAGGCAUCGUAGCAUUGGCAUGGCAAAAGAGCGAGCAAACUAGCAUAGCAAAGAUAGUAGUGAUUUCGAGGGUAUGAUCAUCUUGCCUGAGAUCCCGCAAGGAAGAAGAAAGAGUCCAUGAAGAAGACAAACGGACGAAGUCGAACGAAUCCUCACAACUCCGGAACGAAACCGAAGCUAACGAGAGAAGCAACCCGGAAAGAAACAAACAACAUAGUAAACAAACAUCACAUAAACAUGGCAUGAUGCGCAAACAAGUAUGAUGCAUGUCCGGUUUAAAUAUGCAUGGCAUGGGAAAGUGCACAAACAAUCCUACAAAUUAAGUGGGGCUCAAUAUGCAACGAGUUGCAUAUUGACGAAACACCACAACAAGUUAUUUAGUUCGAUCUCGUUUAUGUACCCAACAAUAUUGAAUGUUGUUAAACAUGGCAAGAGGGUGAAGCAAAUGAAAACUACCUAUCUAGGCAAGUUUAAAUGAGGCCGGAACAACAAACAACAAUUCCGGUAAAUCCCCACAUGUCUUUUAGUAGUUUAAUGCAAACAUAAUUUUUAAACAUUUUAAAUGUUGUUAUCAUGAUGCGGAUGACAUAUGCAAGUUUAUGCUUUUUUUAAGAAAAUGUUGACAUGAGCAUGUUAUGAAGCAUUAGUCGCCAUGGCGGAAUGAAAAGGGUGCCACGGCGGCGAAACAGAAAUGGUGCCACGGCAACAUAUCCGAAAAUGAUGCCAUGGCAACAUAUCGGUUCCGGUAGCUCACAGAGAUACCGGUGCAAAAGGAGGCGUGACGUGAGCGAGUCAUGCAAGAUGGUGGGGUGAUCCCGACUUCCGGGUUCCCACGGGACGGUGGCACGGCAAAAGAGGGGCAUCGCAAGGACGAUUCGAUCACAGAGCAAACGAUGCAUCUCAUUCAACACAUGCAUUAGGUCACGGGCGUCGUCUCGGCGUUAUACCUUCGAAGCGUGCGUUUUCGGAGCGGUUCGAGUCAUCGAGGGAAGUAGUUGUUCACGGCGACGGUAGAGGUACUCGCGAUCUUGGCAACGGUAGUCGUACAUGUCCGGAGAGGAACUUGUCGCAUCCACGGUAUUCGGGCGUAGUGGAAGUAGUUGUUCAAGUGUUGUCGUGGGAAGUAGUCGUACACGGCGUCGGUAGUGGUACACGGGUCUUCGGGCGACGGUAGAUGGUACAUGUUUUCGUAGAUGAACUUGGCGAUCCGAAGGGGUACUUGGCGCAUCACCGUGUGUAGUCGUACUCGGUGUCCUCGGGGCAUCGGCUGUAGUCGAAGAACUUGGCGUGCGUCAACUGUUGAGCAACAGUGCACAGGAGGCAGCAAGGCAUGGACGACUUGGUGUGCAACCAAAGAUGGACUUCGGGCGUCUGGGUUGACUUGGCCACGACAAAGGCAACAGGGCCAACGGGGCAGCCAACUCGUCUUGGAGGGGAGCCCUAACGGACAGAGCAGCUCGCGAGGACAUCGGCGGCUCGCGAGGCACCCACAGCAGCAGCAGGACGAGGCAUGAAAAAUCGACAGCACGGCAACCAUGAAGGAGGCAGCACGUGGUCGUGGUGGCUCGGGCAGAAGGUCAACGGGGCGACGGGGAUGCAGACUAGGCAGGAGCUUGGCGCAGCGGGGACGAUGGAUCCGGGCGGCGACCGCGGCUUGGGAGCUCCUCAACAAAUCGAGCAGAGGCGGCGAGCUGCGGGCGGCCGUCCCGAGGAGGUUGGCGACGGGGAUUGGGCACGAUGGAGGAGGGCGCACGAGGAGGGGGCCGCGGGGACGGGGCGAGGGCAGCAGGAGGCGAACGACGGAGGCUCGAGGUGCACUGAAGGAGUGGAGGAGAGAGGAGGAAGGGCGCGGGAGGAGCAGCAGGGCGGCGCCAUGGCCGGAGAUGGUCGCGCUCGGGGACGAGCUCCGACGGAGCUGCUCGCUGGCAGCGGCCGGAAACAGAGGCGAGGCAGAGGAGGGGCACGGGCGCAGGAGGCUGAGAGGGGCGAGACAGAGGAGAUCGAGGGGAGCGGGUCGGGCUAGGUUAGGAGGGUUAGGUGGGCUGGGCCUGAGAGGCCGGUUGGGUCGGCCCAGGUGGAGAGGAAAUGGCCAGAGGCCUGGCUGGGCUUACCUCUCUCUUCUCUCUCUCUCUUAUAUUUACUUUAGCAGAAAAGCAAAAAGAGAGAAGAAAAGAAAAGGAGGGUUAGGGAAAGAAAAUGCGCAAGGGGAUAAUUUCCUUGGACUCACAAAAAUAUGCUCGUACCAAGAAAAAUAGAAAGAGGCAUGAUUGAAAGAUUAAAUUCAAACUCAUUUGAUUUAAAUUCAAAUGAUUUGAAUAGGAAGUGAGGUUUGGGAAGGUCCAAAAAUGUUCGGAUUUUUGGUGGAGCUCCGGAAAAUGAUGAAAUAAUUUAUGGGCAGAGUUGGAGACCAAGAAUUAAGAUAAUAAAGGCAUUGGGAUAUUUUGCAAGUGUGUUAAGGUGAUUCCAAAACAAUGGAAUAUUUUAUUAUAGCUCCCUAAAUAUCGGGAGGGUAUGUUAUAAAGAGAAGUCACCAUGUGAGUCCCUCGAUUUAAAUGGAUCGAAAAAUCCAUACAAUUUAUUUAGUUGAGGUUUUAAAAAUUAAUGAUAUGAUGGCAUGAUGACAUGAUGCAAUGCACAUGAUGCAAGGAUGAAUGCAACAAAUAAAACAAAUCACACGACGAAACUCGGAAUAGCUGGAAGUCUUCUGAAGCAUCGGUCUUGGGGCGUUACAACACUCCACCACUACGAGAGGAUCUCGUCCCGAGAUCUAGGAUGGCACCGGAGGGAAACGGAAGAGGAAGAUAAGCGGUAAAACUAAGUUGCUUCUUUGACAAACGAGUGAAUCCAAAGAACCUUGAAAGGUUAAUCCAUUUCGAGAAAAGAAUACAAUGGAGAUGACGAAGCUAAAAACACUCCGUUAGAAAAGAGGAACAAGGGAGAACAACUUCGGGCAGCACUCCGAUUGAAAAGAAAAAGAAUUGAAUAAGAACUUGAUAAGAUGAGAAGAUACUUGAUGAAAUCACAACACACUGCCUCCGGAACUAUUGAAAGAAUGGCACAAUGGGUAAGAAGGAUUUCAGACAGCUCUCCAGUUGAGGAAGGAGGGAAAACUUGAUAAGAUUAGAGAACUCGAACGAAAACACGACACUCCGGUUAAAUGGAUAAGCAAGAAAAGAACACGAUCCUCACGAAUCGAGAUGAUGAGUGAAAAGAGCAACGUCACAAUGCCUCCGGAAGAAAGAAUAGAAGAUAGGUCAUUGGAAUAACAGAAUGGAGGGGGAAAUGGCAACUUCUGCCACAAUUGAGCUUGGAAAGCACCCUUCCAAGAAGGUUACAACGGGGUUGUUGGGAAAAACCCAACAACGAAACGAAUAAGCUUGUAGUGGGCUUAUGGAAAACAUCUCAAAAUUAUGAGGUGACAACCGGCCACUAACGGAAACGAUUGCUAGCUUUAGAUCGACUAAGAGAUGAACACUUCUUCCACCAAGAUGAUAAAGAGAUAACUUGGAUCAUUGGCAAGCACCACAAAUAGCAACAUUCCAAUGGAAGGCUUUUAGGUGAAAUAUGACACAGGAUAACUCCAACAAUGAGGUUGAUGGAUUUAAAAUACCUCAUUCUUAACAACAUGUGAAUCACGAAACAUGAACUCAAAUUAUCAAGAAUGACAUAAUACCACCUUCAAAGAUUCGGAAGAAAGAAUUGCACUCCGGGUAGCAAGAUGAAGAAUGCUUGAGCUCCUUAGAAAAGAAUCUCAAUGAACACUUGGAGAAGGGAUAUAAAUCCUUGAUGAACCAUCAUGCAUAGCCUCCAUGAAGAAACUCCGGUAACAAAAGAAUAAAAAGAAAGAGAAAUUGAAAACACAAGGUGAAUCCUUGCAAUGAUUUAGAUGGAGCUUCGCGACGAGAUAAUGCGGAAAACUUAGAACUCCAAAAGAAAGAUGAACAACAAGCAGCCAAGAAUUUAUUCCUCCUGAACAAACUCUGAAGGAAAGGAUUAAUCACUUGGAUGAAACCAGAAUAAGAAUUAUGUUAUGCGUAUCCUUCACCAAUUUAAAUUGAUGACAAGCAACGGAUUUGGCAUACUACUUAUUCUUGUAGAAAGGAUUAAGAGAGAUAUGGCGUAAACUUGAGAAGGUCUUCAAGGAACCACCGGUAGGAUUUGGAAAGAACGAAUGAAUUGAUAUGAUAACAAAGAAAGAGAACUCUUGAACGAACCACCGUAAGAAUUGAAAUUGAACGUAGCAAAUGCACAAGUCACCGGGAAGAAUUGCAAAAUGAAUGAAGAUACUUUAGGGUGGGUGGGCGGGAAAAAACAAAGGCAACUUGGAGACGGAUGAAACAACCACCGUUGAGAAGAAAUGAUAAUUGGUCUUGCUGAUGUUGAAGUGAUCGGAUCCACUUGAAGAGAAACACGCCGGUUGAAAAGGAUUGACAUGACAAUCUCGAUUGUCGAGAAGGAUUGGUAUUCACAUCGGAGUAUGAGAACACCAUUUCGGAAAGGUAUGGAAUCAACACUUGACAUUGAAGCAACUCGAAUACCACAACUCAAAACAAAAACAAAGGACUGGCUUGCAGAAUAAGCCGGAACAAACAUAUGAUAGAGAUUUCGUCCGAAGUUUUCGUGGUGGGGCCUACACGGGCUCGAUCGUACAACGCCAUCAUGUACAAGGCAGUGCACAUGACAUACGAAGCGUCCCCGAGUCGGCAUAGCCAAGGACUCUUUAAGACACAACGAGACCACUGUAAAAUUCAACCGUGAAUAGGCGGACCACUAGACGUCGAACCCCAAUUUCAUAUCAUACAUCUGUCGGGAAGAUAUCCUAAGAGCUACUUGAUUUCCCACCUAUGAAACUCCCGAAAUUUUCAGGUUAUGCAAUCAGGUGUUGGGGAUACAGGGGAAGCAUAAUAUCUCACCCAAAACUAACAAAUCCUACAUCCAGCUGUAUCCAUCCUUCAACACAUAACCAAGAAACCUUCGGAAAUCGUCUACCUCAACCUUCGAAAAGCAUCCGUUAUACAAGUCAUGUCAAUACUCCCGUACUCACCUCAGUACUGGGUUAUCGGGGUUAUCUCACCAACAACUGCAUAAAAGAGAUUUUCGAUGUCGGCGUACUAAACUCAGGUAUUCCAGAACUGCAACGAUAAAAUUAUGACGACAACGCCUCAGAGCUCAACUCCCCGGGACACUUCCACUAAACCCCUGACAGGAGGCACCAAAACAAUGUUCUCAUCAUAAAACCAUCGGAACGAUUCCAAGAUACCCGCGUGAUCCUAAAUUUUUUUAGUGAAAUUUGAGAAGAGAAGAGUCGAAACUCUAUGCCAGGAUGCCUUACCAGAGCGAUGAGGAGACUGGGAAGUAAAAAGAAUUCCUAAACUCUCCGAUAUAUAAUUCCUAAAGACUCAAAACAUUUUUCUAGACACGACUCGGCCGCUAAAAACGAUCAAGCAAUGGGGCUCCUAAGGUCUGGGAAGGCUCUGAUUACCAACUUGUCACGCCCUCGAUGCGGCUAUAUCUCCCACGUGUCGAAGCACGACUUAGAGGCAUAACCGCAUUGAAAGCAAUGUCGCAAGUGAGGUAAUCUUCACACAACCCAUGUAAUACACAAGGGAAAUAGAUACAUAGUUGGCUUACAAUCGCCACUUCACACAAUUACAUGAAUAAAGCAUUACAUCAUCCAGAUACAAUCAAGGUCCGACUACGGAACCAAAAUAAAAGAAGAACCCCAAAUGCGACAAAGGUCCCCGAUCAACCCCAACUGGGCUCCACUACUGAUCAACUAGAACGAAACAACACAAAGGGCAAGAUCUUCAUCGAGCUCCUCCUUGAGCUUGGUUGCGUCAUCUGCACGGUAACAUAGGCACCUGCAAACUGGUUUUGGAAGUAUCUGUGAGCCACGGGGACUCAGCAAUCUCGCACCCGCGAGAUCAAGACUAUUUAAGCUUAUAGGAAGGAUGGAGUAAUGAGGUGGAGCUGCAGCAAGCGACUAGCAUAUAUGGUGGCUAACAUACGCAAAUGAGAGCGAGAAGAGAAGGCAAAGCACGGUCGAUAAAAGUAUGAUCAAGAAGUGAUCCUAUAGCAACCUACGUCAAGCAUAACUCCAACACCGUGUUCACUUCCCGGACUCUGCCGGAAAGAGACCAUCACGGUUACACACACGGUUGAUGUGUUUUAAUUAAGGUCAACUUCGGGUUUUCUACAACCGGACGUUAACAAAUUCCCAUCUGCCCAUAACCGCGGGCACGGCUUUCGAAAGUUCAAAUCCCUGCAGGGUGUCCCAACUUAGCCCAUCACAAGCUCUCACGGUCAACGAAGGAAUAGACCUCCACCCGAGACAUUCCGAUCAGACUCGGUAUCCCGGUACAACAAGACAUUUCGACAGGGUAAAACUAAACCAGCAACACCGCCCGAAUGUGCCGACAAAUCCCGAUAGGAGCUGCACAUAUCUCUUUCUCAGGGCACACUCAGAUGAGCGCUCCGUACAACUAAAAGCAAACCUCGAGUUUCCCCGAGGGGGCGCUGCACAGGACUCUAGUUUGGACCAACACUCAGAGGAGCACUGGCCCGGGGGGUAAAAUAAUGAUGACCCUCAGGAGCGCGACUCCCAAGGGAAAAGAAAAGGCUAGGUGGCAAAUGGUAAAACCAAUGUUGGGCAUUGCUGGAAGAGCUUUACUUAAGGCGAACUGUCAAGGGGUUCCCAUUAUAGCCCAACCGCGUAAGGGACGCAAAAUCCGGGAACAUAACACCGAUAUGACGGAAACUAGGGCGGCAAGAGUGGAACAAAACACCAGGCAUAAGGCCGAGCCUUCCACCCUUUACCAAGUAUAUAGAUGCAUUAAUUAAAUAAGAUAUAUUGUGAUAUCCCAACAAGUAAUCAUGUUCCAACAAGGAACAACAUCUCCAUGUUCCAACAAGGAACAAACUUCAAACUUCACCUGCAACUAACAACGCUAUAAGAGGGUCUGAGCAAAGCGGUAACAUAGCCAAUCAACGGUUUGCUAGGACAUGGUGGGUUAGAGGUUUGACAUGGCAAUUUGGGAGGCUGACAAGCAAAUGGUAGGCAUCGUAGCAUUGGCAUGGCAAAAGAGCGAGCAAACUAGCAUAGCAAAGAUAGUAGUGAUUUCGAGGGUAUGAUCAUCUUGCCUGAGAUCCCGCAAGGAAGAAGAAAGAGUCCAUGAAGAAGACAAACGGACGAAGUCGAACGAAUCCUCACAACUCCGCAACGAAACCGAAGCUAACGAGAGAAGCAACCCGGAAAGAAACAAACAACAUAGUAAACAAACAUCACAUAAACAUGGCAUGAUGCGCAAACAAGUAUGAUGCAUGUCCGGUUUAAAUAUGCAUGGCAUGGGAAAGUGCACAAACAAUCCUACAAAUUAAGUGGGGCUCAAUAUGCAACGAGUUGCAUAUUGACGAAACACCACAACAAGUUAUUUAGUUCGAUCUCGUUUAUGUACCCAACAAUAUUGAAUGUUGUUAAACAUGGCAAGAGGGUGAAGCAAAUGAAAACUACCUAUCUAGGCAAGUUUAAAUGAGGCCGGAACAACAAACAACAAUUCCGGUAAAUCCCCACAUGUCUUUUAGUAGUUUAAUGCAAACAUAAUUUUUAAACAUUUUAAAUGUUGUUAUCAUGAUGCGGAUGACAUAUGCAAGUUUAUGCUUUUUUUAAGAAAAUGUUGACAUGAGCAUGUUAUGAAGCAUUAGUCGCCAUGGCGGAAUGAAAAGGGUGCCACGGCGGCGAAACAGAAAUGGUGCCACGGCAACAUAUCCGAAAAUGAUGCCAUGGCAACAUAUCGGUUCCGGUAGCUCACAGAGAUACCGGUGCAAAAGGAGGCGUGACGUGAGCGAGUCAUGCAAGAUGGUGGGGUGAUCCCGACUUCCGGGUUCCCACGGGACGGUGGCACGGCAAAAGAGGGGCAUCGCAAGGACGAUUCGAUCACAGAGCAAACGAUGCAUCUCAUUCAACACAUGCAUUAGGUCACGGGCGUCGUCUCGGCGUUAUACCUUCGAAGCGUGCGUUUUCGGAGCGGUUCGAGUCAUCGAGGGAAGUAGUUGUUCACGGCGACGGUAGAGGUACUCGCGAUCUUGGCAACGGUAGUCGUACAUGUCCGGAGAGGAACUUGUCGCAUCCACGGUAUUCGGGCGUAGUGGAAGUAGUUGUUCAAGUGUUGUCGUGGGAAGUAGUUGUACACGGCGUCGGUAGUGGUACACGGGUCUUCGGGCGACGGUAGAUGGUACAUGUUUUCGUAGAUGAACUUGGCGAUCCGAAGGGGUACUUGGCGCAUCACCGUGUGUAGUCGUACUCGGUGUCCUCGGGGCAUCGGCUGUAGUCGAAGAACUUGGCGUGCGUCAACUGUUGAGCAACAGUGCACAGGAGGCAGCAAGGCAUGGACGACUUGGUGUGCAACCAAAGAUGGACUCCGGGCGUCUGGGUUGACUUGGCCACGACAAAGGCAACAGGGCCAACGGGGCAGCCAACUCGUCUUGGAGGGGAGCCCUAACGGACAGAGCAGCUCGCGAGGACAUCGGCGGCUCGCGAGGCACCCACAGCAGCAGCAGGACGAGGCAUGAAAAAUCGACAGCACGGCAACCAUGAAGGAGGCAGCACGUGGUCGUGGUGGCUCGGGCAGAAGGUCAACGGGGCGACGGGGAUGCAGACUAGGCAGGAGCUUGGCGCAGCGGGGACGAUGGAUCCGGGCGGCAACCGCGGCUCGGGAGCUCCUCAACAAAUCGAGCAGAGGCGGCGAGCUGCGGGCGGCCGGCGCGAGGAGUUUGGCGACGGGGAUUGGGCACGAUGGAGGAGGGCGCACGAGGAGGGGGCCGCGGGGACGGGGCGAGGGCAGCAGGAGGCGAACGGCGGAGGCUCGAGGUGCGCUGAAGGAGUGGAGGAGAGAGGAGGAAGGGCGCGGGAGGAGCAGCAGGGCGGCGCCAUGGCCGGAGAUGGUCGCGCUCGGGGACGAGCUCCGACGGAGCUGCUCGCUGGCGGCGGCCGGAAACAGAGGCGAGGCAGAGGAGGGGCACGGUCGCAGGAGGCUGAGAGGGGCGAGACGGAGGAGAUCGAGGGGAGCGGGUCGGGCUAGGUUAGGAGGGUUAGGUGGGCUGGGCCUGAGAGGCCGGUUGGGUUGGCCCAGGUGGAGAGGAAAUGGCCAGAGGCCUGGCUGGGCUUACCUCUCUCUUCUCUCUCUCUUAUAUUUACUUUAGCAGAAAAGCAAAAAGAGAGAAGAAAAGAAAAGGAGGGUUAGGGAAAGAAAAUGCGCAAGGGGAUAAUUUCCUUGGACUCACAAAAAUAUGCUCAUACCAAGAAAAAUAGAAAGAGGCAUGAUUGAAAGAUUAAAUUCAAACUCAUUUGAUUUAAAUUCAAAUGAUUUGAAUAGGAAGUGAGGUUUGGGAAGGUCCAAAAAUGUUCGGAUUUUUGGUGGAGCUCCGGAAAAUGAUGAAUAAUUUAUGGGCAGAGUUGGAGACCAAGAAUUAAGAUAAUAAAGGCAUUGGGAUAUUUUGCAAGUGUGUUAAGGUGAUUCCAAAACAAUGGAAUAUUUCAUUAUAGCUCCGUCAAUAUCGGGAGGGUAUGUUAUAAAGAGAAGUCACCAUGUGAGUCCCUCGAUUUAAAUGGAUGAAAAAAUCCAUACAAUUUAUUUAGUUGAGGUUUUAAAAAUUAAUGAUAUGAUGGCAUGAUGACAUGAUGCAAUGCACAUGAUGCAAGGAUGAAUGCAACAAAUAAAACAAAUCACACGACGAAACUCGGAAUAGCUGGAAGUCUUCUGAAGCAUCGGUCUUGGGGCGUUACAUUAUCGCUCGCUUAUGAUAUUGUCACCAUGCUGAGUUAAGCAUGCAUUUCUUCGGAAGGAUUGGAUGGUAGAAGGCUGGUGGAGCAUCUGUCAGCAAAGGAUGCAGUUUUAACGUAGCUGGUGUAUCACCAGGAUCUGGAGAAUUACAUCAGGAGUUUUCAGAUGGAUCUUCAGGAAGCCGUAUUUGACAAGGAAGUAGUUCAUGAAGAACCCAGGAACCAGAAGCUGAAAGUAGCCAAGCCGGAGGAGCUAAACCUCGAGAUACCAGAGAUUCGUCAGGAGCUGAAGGAUAGAAGGACAUGGUUCAUGCCAAGGAUGUUGAAACCCAGAAGUUUGGAACGCAGCUCCAGAAAUAUUAAAGGACGUCAUGAGAGAUUUCACGUCAACUAAGACUACUUUUCAUGUAUGGGUAUCUCAAGAUAAUUAGCCACACGGGUUGCAUAAAUUCCUCCGAAAAAGUUUCCAGCUAAAGCAUUAUGAUGCAACCUAGGUGCAACAAUUGCCCCUAAAUUGUAUCAUUUAUCACCUAAUACAACACUCUUGAGAACACACAGAUCAGGGACACACAUGUGACAUGCUUCAUCUUUACCAUUAAUGCAUCUACCAAUGAAGAGAGCAAAAUAAUGUAUAGAAGGAAAAUGAAUGCUCCCUAAGGUUGCUUGUGCUAUGUCCCUGGAUUCUCCCACAAUGAUAUUAGCAAGAAAAUCUUUAUAUUCAGAUUUACUAGGUUCAUUAAUACUUCCCCACUGCGGGAGUUUGCAGGAAGUAGUAAAAUCUUCUAGGUCCAUGGUAUAUAAUUUAUCAUAAAUAUCAAACAGGACACUUUGAGAAUUGCGCGAAGACGUAAGUGUAAACCUUCUCACAAAUGAAUCAGUUAAGUACUGGUACUGCGGGCACUUAUCUUGCAUGAAUGCCUCAAGGUCGGCAUUACGCACAUAUGCAUCAAAUCAUCCUUGAUACCCGCUGCAACCAUAAAUGGCUCCGAUGGCCAUUCACAAGGCCAUACAUAAGCUUCCCUUGGUAAUUUGUCAUCGAGCUCACGUAUUGCGAGCCGGGGUCCUUUCUUUCUUCAAGAACCACCUUGGUAUAUUUUCCUGAACAUAUUUCUUUUUCUGCAAUAUUUCUGAUUUUUUAGUAACUUCAAAAUAAAAGUAAAUAAAUCUGAACAAGAUUGAUAGCAACUACUCCUACAAGUGCCUAGAGCCUAUAUCAUGCAUUAAAAUUACUUGGGACCUCAUAAAUUUGACAUGCAAGCUCAAGAACAGGGUCACCUAUGCAGCAAAAAUUUGCAAUGAAUAAAGCACUAGAACAAAAACUAAUUGGAUCAAUGGAGGAGUCACAUACGAAGCAACAAUCUCCCAAAGCAGUUUUGUGAAUGGGGCUUUGAGCAAGGAGAUCGAGAAUCACAGCAAAAUGGGCUGGAACUCGUGCUUGAGCUAGAUGAGGAUUUUUUGGCAGGAAGAUGGAGUGUGUGGGUGCAGGAAUAAGUGGAGGGGGUCCACCGUGGGCCCACGAGAUAGGGGGGCGCACCCUAUAGGGGGGUGUCGGUGUCAAAGCCGGCGGAUCUCGGGUAGGGGGUCCUAAUCUGUGUGUCUUAGGCUGAUGGUAACAGGAAGCAAGGGACACAAUGUUUACCCAGGUUCGGGCCCUCUCGAUGGAGGUAAAACCCUACUUCCUGCUUGAUUAAUAUUGAAGAUAUGUGUAGUACAAGAGUAGAUCUACCACGAGAUCAUAGAGGCUAAACCCUAAGAGCUAGCCUAUGAUGGUAUGAUUGUAAUUGUGAUCGGCCUUCUAAGGACCAUCCUCUCCGGUUUAGAUAGACACGGAGAGGGCUAGGGUUUACAUGGAGUCGGUUACAAGGAAGGAAAUAUAAUAUCUGGAUCACCAAGCUUGUCUUCCACGCAAAGGAGAGUCCCAUCCGGACACGGGCCGAAGUCUUGAGUCUUGUGUCUUCAUGCUUCAAUAGCCCGGACGAUGUAUAUAGUCCAGCUGUCCGGAUACCCCUUAUCCAGGACUCCCUCAGUAGCCCUUGAACCAGGCUUCAAUGACGAUGAGUCCGGCGCGCAGUCUUGUCUUCGGCAUUGCAAGGCGGGUUCCUUCUCCGAAUACUCCAAUGUACCUAUUACGACGAAAAGUGUCCGGCUUCUUGUCGACGUUGUACUCCUCGGCUUCAGUGCCUUAAUAAUGACCAUUUCCACGUGUCGAGCGAAUGCGAGGAGGCAAGGUAUUUUUGCAUUUGCCACCCCUGAGCCUUCGGGCCAACCGUCUAUUUGAAGAGACAGGGAUUCCCAGAUCCAAACCACACUCUUCCCCCUCGAGCAAGCAUUCAAAAGAGCGCCCCAGAAAAACCAUUCCAACAUGGCCGGUCGUUGCAACUCUUCUGCUUGCUCCCCUUGCCCCAAGCCCGGGGACUGGGGAGAGUGUUCAGUUUUGCAUAGCUGUUUGAUAAACUUACAAACCCAAGGGCUUCUCCCACCGGCGUUCGCGGUUCCUGUUCGAGCCGGAAUAGCCACCUAUAACGGCGGAGAGCAAGCGGAGAGAUCCCCUAAUCCGUCUCUAGAGGAGCGAAUAUGCCUCAUUCCGCAUCUGUUAAGGGGCAUCCGGUUUCCUAUUCAUCCAUUCCUUCGCGGGCUCCUAGAGUUCUACGGCCUCCAGUUGCACAACUUUACCCCAGCUUCUGUGCUACAUAUAGCAGGGUAUGUCGCCCUUUGUGAGCUAUUUCUAGGCUGUGAGGCUCAUUUCGGUUUAUGGAAGAAGCUGUUCUACCUUGUCCCCUGCAACCAGGGAGAGUCCCUAUGUCAAGUGGACGGGGCCGAAGUAUGGCGCAUCGCUGAGACCGGAUACCUAUUCGGCACUCCUAAGAAGGCACUAGAGAACUGGGCUUCAGAGUGGUUUUAUAUUGACGAGGUCCCCCUUCCGGAUCCAGUCCGGACAGGACUCCUCGAGUUUAGUAACGCCCCGUCAAGGGCACGUCUAAGCUGGCGCCCCCGAGGCCCCCAAGAAGAAGAUACCAGGGAAAUACAUUUCCUGAUGAGCAGGAUAAAGUUACUGGCCCAAUCCGGACUGACGAUAGUCGAGGUCAUGGCAAUAUGCAUAAUGCGGGGAGUGCAGCCACUUCAAUAUCGGGGCAAUCCCAUGUGGCAUUUCAACGGGACAGACGAUGCCACCCGUUGCGCCGUAAGGGUCCGGACUCCACCACUGCUCUGGCAAGGAUACUGUCUGAUCUGUACAAAGGAGAAUAGGAAGACUUCCUUCAUAUCAAACCGCGGGAUGGAUUCUCCAUGUACAAUCCCCCAAACUGGGUGAGUCAUCAUUUAUUUUGUUGCUUCACUUAUCGUGGCGUUCUUUGCUAAGGUUACCUGCCUCGAUAUUUCCGAGCAGGAACUGAGGAGGGCCGUAGAAUGAAUCUCCAGCCCUUCCUCGCAGCCAGAAAACCCCAAAAAGGGCCCUGGAUCCAGGACUCGAAGAAGACCCGAAUGCGGCCGUGGUGCUUGUCAACGGGAUAUUUAAUCGGGCAACCCGUGACAGCGCCUCAGUGGCUAUUACCGCUGAUUAUCUCGGACUGCUACCUUCGACGCGUGUAAGCCAAGCCGAAGACUCGAUCCUCCGAAGAGGAAUCUUUCCUGAUGUCAUGCCUUAUCCCUGAAGUGUCGUGUUUUUGUAGAGGCGACGUUCGGAGCGCAGGGCCGAGCCCCUAGGGACCUGUCAGCCACAGGCGUCCGGAUUGGGCAGGCUCAAGAGGAAGGCGGUUAGGGCCGACAUGCCUCUACAGAGGUAAGGAAACCACCUGUCAUGUAAUUUAUUAUUAUUUUGAAGUAUAACAGUGCCCUUUACAUCCUAGCAGGAAGAGGAGUAUCCGGACUAUAUUCGGGGAUCCUGCCAACCAUGCCUCCACCAGUCGGGCUCCAGAGCCGAUUUCGAGAGAGGAGGCGGACGUAGGGCCGAUGCCGCAUAGUCCUCCGACAGAGGAUGCAGACAUUCUCUCUGCCACGAAUUCCGAAGUAGAGAGCGCCAUGAAUCACCGGCGUCGACGGACCGUGCUUCACAACAACAUCUUUUCCGAAGAGGCAUUUAAUGCCUUCAAUUCGGGAGACGCAUACAUCCGAGCUGCUCAAGGCGGGCUCGCCUGAGCGAUGGACCAGUAUACCAAAGAUAUACGGGUAAGAAAGUUUGAUAAGCAUGUAUAGCACAACAGUUUUAAGUAUCAAUUUAUGCGCAGGUUCUUGUAGAUAAGAAUGAGCAAUUGUCUCGGGAGCUAGAGGAGUGCAAGACCCAACUGAGGUCCAUGGUUGCCAAGCUAGAGGAAUCCCAGAAGGCCUGGCCUAGUAACAUUUAUCUCGAUUGUACGAAAAUGUACGAGUUAGCAACUGGCUGAUAUGACGAGUUUAACAGAAAACUCUGCAGAUAACCCCGGAGCAAAUCCGGAGGGCGGGAGGGAUGACGAGUCACAUCUCUAGAGGCAACUAAUGGCCGGCGAGCUCAUUCUUACGCAAGUUAAGCAUGAUAAGAAUACUCUCCAAGAUGCCAAUGUUCGGCUGGACGUGGAAUAGAAGGACGUCCGCGCGCAGCUGGCAGACUCCGUGAAGGAGAACAGAAUGCUUCGCCGCGGCAUUUAUCGUAAGUGCCUAAAUGAACUGUAGCAUAGUUCGGCGAGGAAGUAUAUUGAAAAAGUUGUGUUUGUAGGAAUGCUAAAGGGUCGCCCUGAGGAGGAGAUGCCCGCAUCUGCAGGUGAUUUACUGCAGGACCUCUCACAACUGCACAAGCGAGCUCGGCAGGUGAUGCAGGGCGUAGCGCAGGCCUUGUGGCCAUCAAGCUUCCUAAUGAAUGGCAUGGGAGAGCUUGUGGACAUGCUUCAAGGAGCACGGCGGCGCUUCCGUUUGUGGAAGAUGCCUGCCGGCAAGGUGCAAGAGAAGCAUGGGCUAUGGUGAAGACGUGCUACACCAAGCUGGACCCGAACCAUAUGGCCGAAGUCGGACCGGCAGGGCCAGAUGGGCAAGAAAUUCCCGUGAGUCUGGUAUAUGACCAGGUGGCGUUGGCCGCAAAGUAUUCUCAACAGGAUUGUAAGCUAGAUAGCCUGUUGGAUGGUAUAGAGGAUGAAUAUAGUCAGUGCAAAUGACUGUGUAAUUCGAUGGACAUAAUUAGCCCCUAGCCGGAUUAAAAUCAUUCGUCAUGGCGGACCUUUUCACUUCAGCCCCCGGAUCCUACAGUCCGGGGUGUGUCCGAAUACCCGCUCGGUUAUACAAAACCGGAGUAUGCGUGGAAACCAGGCGUAGGGGUCAUAAGUGCUUGAACAGACAAGUACCCAACUAGUUAUGUUAUAUUACAUGGAUAGUAAGAAACAUCUUCCAGAGAGAAUAUUUCCGUUAAGGGUUCCUUUCCCUGGGUAGGCAUGCGACAAAGCACAUGUCCGAACUGCGAACCAUGGGGCAGGAUACAAAACUUCUGGGGAUUUAUAUUAUGAUAAACGAAGACAUCUUUUGUUCACCGACGAAUAUUCUCUUAAGGAAACUAGCUUUCGGCUUCACCCACUGAGGUACACAUCCGGCUCAACCGGCAGUAACAGUCGCAGAGGUGCUCCCCUUAUGCCCUAGCCGAAUUAACGGGAACGUAGGGCAUAAACACAGGAGCCAGGCAACCCAGCUUGGCCACGUCUUAAGUCAUAUCGAUGCAUAUAAUGGUGAAGAAAAGUCACACAUGGAAAAUACAUGUAUGAUGGGCAAAAUACUCCCAGUAGAAGUGAUUUCUUAUUGUAUCAACUUUUUUCUGUAUUUUGACAGGCAAAGUGUAGCAACCCAGAAGGUACAUAGGGACAUUUGAUAAACAUGCAUUGAUCAAUAUAUCGCCCUUUAGAGUAAGUUAUGUUUAGCUUCCGUAUAGGAAGCCCCUAGGUAUUGCUUGCACACAUAGUGCGGCCGGAAUAAUCCAGGAGUCCGCACUGUAUUAAAUACUUUGUGUGAAGAGAAAAAGAUCGAGAAAGGAAAAGGGAGGGAGCAUAAUUGAAAUAGGAGGAGGUAAGGAGACGAACACUGAGUUCGGCGCUAGGCGUAGAAUCUCCGGAGUCUGGCCGCGCUCCAUGGGUUCGGCUCGAGUCUGUUGUCGGACGCAAUACGUAAGCGGUACGCUCCUCUGGUGAGAACUUUGUCGAUGAUGAAGGGGCCUUCCCACUUGGGUUUGAGCUUGUCCUCCUUCUUCUCCGGUAAGCGUAGAACGAGUUCGCCAAUAUUAUAAGUUUUGGCCCGCACUUCUCUGCUUUGGUAUCGUCGAGCCUGUUGCUGAUAGAAUGCGGAACGGGCCUUCGCAACAUCGUGCUCCUCCUCCAGGGCGUCCAAGUUAUCCUGUCGAUCUAGCUCGGCUUCCUUCUCUUCGUACAUGCGUACGCGUGGCGAAUCAUGUAUUAUGUCGCAGGGUAGUACUGCUUCCGCACCGUACACCAUAAAGAAUGAUGUAUAUCCGGUGGUGCGAUUCGGCGUGGUCCGCAGCCCCAGAGUACGGAGUCGAGCUCCUCGACCCAAUGAGUAUCCGACUCUGUCAAGGAUCGCACUAGUCUGGGUUUGAUGCCGCUCAUGAUGAGACCGUUUGCCCGUUCGACCUGACCAUUUGUUUGAGGAUGGUAGACGUAAGCAUAGUCGAGAUUAAUGCCCAUUUUGCCGCACCAAGCUUUCACUUCAUCGGCUGUAAAAUUUGAGCCAUUAUCGGUGAUGAUGCUGUGGGCGACACCAUAUUGGUGUACGACCCCGGAUGUAAAGUCUAUUACUGGUCUGGAUUCGGCCGUUUUCACUGGUUUGGCUUCUAUCCAUUUGGUGAACUUGUCUACCAUGACCAAUAAAUAUUUUUCUUGUGGCUUCCCCUUUAGGGGUCCAACCAUAUCCAGUCCCCAGACCGCGAAGGGCCAAGUUAUGGGGAUUGUUUGGAGAGCGGUAGGGGGCAUAUGACUCUGGUUGGCAAAGAGCUAGAAACUGACGCAGUGUUGGACAAGGUCCUGUGCGUCUGCUCGGGCCGUCGGCCAAUAGAAACCUGUACGGAAGGCCUUGCUGACUAGUGCUCGAGCCGCGGCGUGGUGCCCGCCCAGUCCGGCAUGGAUUUCAGCCAAGAGCUGCUGCCCUUCCUCUUCGGAGAUGCACCUUUGGAGCACUCCGGUCGCACAUUUCUUAUAGAGUUCUCCUUCAUGGACCUUGUAAGCUUUAGAACACCGGACGAUGCAGCGUGCUUCAUUUUUAUCUUUGGGGAGCUCCUGCCUAUUUAGGUAGGCCAAGAAAGGCUCAGUGCACGGGGCGAUAACAACCAUUAUUUUGUGGGCUGACGGUGUUAUUUUGGUGGUGCAGCCUCCGAUUAUGUCUGAUAUUCGGAAUCUGGGGAUGUAUUCGGAUCCGUGUUGGUAUUGCCGGACUCCCCUUCCCAUACCACAGAUGGCUUGAACAACCUUUCCAGGAAUAUAUUAGGUGGGACAGGGUCGCGUUUAGCGCCGAUGCGGGCAAGGACAUCUGCCGCUUGAUUGUUUUCUCGAGCCACAUGGUGGAAUUCGAGCCCCUCGAACCGAGCUAACAUUUUAAGGACGGCAUUGCAAUAGGCCGCCAUUUUCGGAUCCUUGGCAUCAAAGUCUCCAUUUAUUUGUGAUAUUGCGAGGUUUGAAUCCCGCGCACUUCUAGGCGUUGAAUGCGCAUAGAGACUGCCAUCCGAAGAUCAUGCAACAGAGCCUCAUAUUCGGCUGCAUUGUUGGAGUCUGUGUAUAAUAUUUGGAGGACAUAUUGGACCGUGUCUCCGGUGGGAGAUGUCAGGACUACGCCUGCUCCAAAUCCGGCCAGCAUUUUAGAGCCAUCGAAGUGCAUGAUCCAGUUAGAGUAUGCGCCGUACUCUUUAGGGAGUUCGGCUUCCGUCCAUUCGGCGACGAAGUCAGCUAAUACUUGCGACUUGAUAGCCCGCCGAGGAUUGUAUGUUAUGUCGAACGGAAGGAGCUCGAUGGACCAUUUAGCAAUCCGGCCCGUGGCAUCGCGGUUAUUUAUUAUAUCGUUUAGUGGUACUUCAGAGGCCACCGUAAUUGAAUACUCUUGAAAGUAGUGUCGUAGCUUUCGGGAUGACAUGAAGACCGCGUAUGCUAUUUUUUGGUAGUGUGGGUAUCGGGAUUUGCAUGGGGUGAGGACCAUGGAUACAUAAUAAACCGGCUUCUCUAGCGGGAGUUUGUAUCCGUCAACCUCCCAUUCGAUGAUGAGUAUUGCGCUUACAACUUGAUUUGUUGCAGCUAUAUACAGCAGCAUAGGUUCGCCGAUAGUUGGUGCUGUUAGGACUGGAUUACUGGCCAAUAAGGUCUUUAUUUCAUCGAGUCCGGCCGCGGCUGCAUCCGUCCACAUGAAGUGUUCAGUGCGCCGAAGAAGGCGGUAAAGAGGUAAUGCCUUUUCUCCUAACCUAGAGAUAAAGCGGCUCAAGGCAGCCACGCAUCCAGCUAGUUUCUGGAUGUGCUCGAGGUCAGUUGGUAUAGCCAACUGUGAUAGAGCUCAGAUUUUUGCCGGAUUCGCUUCAAUUCCUCUAUUGGAAACAAUGAAGCCCAGUACUUUCCCCGAGGGGAUGCCGAAGACGCAUUUUUCCAGAUUUAACUUGAUGUCGUAUGUCCGAAGGUUAUCAAAUGUAAGCCUCAAGUCAUCUAUUAGGGUUUCGACGUGUCUUGUUUUUAUGACCACGUCGUCCACGUAUGCCUCCACUGUUUUGCCGAUUUGCUUUUCCAGGCAUGUUUGAAUCAUGCGUUGAUAGGUUGCACCGGCAUUCUUAAGCCCGAAAGGCAUAGUGUUGAAGCAGAAAGGGCCAUAUGGCGUUAUGAAAGCUAUUGCAGCUUGGUCAGACUCUGCCAUCUUUAUUUGAUGGUAUCCAGAGUAUGCGUUGAGAAAACACAGCGAGUCGUAUCCAGCUGUGGCAUUGAUGAUUUGAUCGAUGCAAGGGAGGGGAAAGGGAUCCUUGGGGCAAGCCUUGUUGAGGUCUUUGAAAUCGACGCAUAGGCGCCAGGACUUGUCCUUCUUUGGUACCAUUACCAAGUUCACCAGCCAAUCCGGAUGUUUGAUAUCUCUGAUGAAUCCGGCCUCGAGUAGCUUGGCUAGCUCCUCCCCCAUGGCUUACCGUUUGGGCUCUGAAAAUCGCCUUAGGGUCUAUUUAACAGGUUUGUGUCCCUUCAGUAUGUUGAGGCUAUGUUCGGCCAAUUCGCGCGGGAUGCCCGGCAUGUCCGAUGGGUGCCAGGCGAAAAUAUCCCAAUUCUCGCGUAAGAAGUCGCGCAGUGCAACGUCCAUAGUGGGGUUCAACUGUGUCCCGAUGGAAGUUGUCUUCGUGGGGUCCAUUGGGUGGACUUGGAAUUUGACUAUCUCAUCUGCGGGUUUGAAUGAGGUGGACUUGGGUCGCUUGUCGAGUAUCACGUCGUCCCUGUCCACGGUGGCACGCAACAUUGUUAAUUCUUCUGAUGCUAGGGCUUCGGACAGUGCUUCCAAGACUAGUGCUGCGGUUUUGUUUUCGGUGCGGAGUGCGACAUCUGGAUCACUAGCUAGAGUGAUGAUUCCAUUGGGUCCGGGCAUUUUAAGCUUCAUGUACCCGUAAUGGGGUAUAGCUUGAAAGCUUGCAAACGCGUCUCGCCCUAGAAGGGCGUGGUAUCCGCUGCUGAAGGGAGCCACUUGGAGCGUGAUUUCUUCGGACCUGUAAUUUUCUGGGGUGCCGAAUACCACAUCGAGUGUGAUUUUCCCCGCGCACCAUGCUUCCCGACUAGGGAUAAUUCCCCUGAAGGUUGUGGCUCUUUGUUCAAUGCGACUUUUGUCAAUUUCAUUCUUCUUGAGUGUUUCUUCAUAGAUUAAGUUUAAUCCGCUUCCGCCGCCAUGAGUACUUUAGUGAGCCGAAAGCUGUCCACUAUUGGGCUAAGGACCAGAGCGGCUGGUGCCCGGAUGGUCUGGAAUUGGGGUUCAUCACUGGCAUUGAAAGUUAUAGCAGUGUCGUUCCACGGAUUUAUUUUUGCCACAUGGCAGAUUUCAGCGGAGCUUCGAUGAGCUCGCUUACGCCUAUUGUUUGAGGCGAAGGUCUCGAAGACUGUUAGUACCGUAUUGUGUUCCUUGGCAGGAUGUUGUUCAGCUUUAUGGCACUUGAGGAGAUCCUCGCCACUUUUUGCUACCUGCCGGAGUAUCCAACAUGCCCUAAAGCUAUGGGUUGGUACUGUGUCCGGCGUACUGUGGAGCUUACAUGGCCCAUCAGCCAUUAUUCCAAUACGGUUCCACGCCCUGGGGAGGGUUUUGGUUCCUUGGGAAUUGAAUUGGUCGACUUACGAGAGUUCGACCGUUUAGUUCAGACAAAGGUUUUGGUGAGGGCCGUACUAUCCCAAAAUUCUGUUUGGGUCUUCCAGGCGCUUUCCAUUGCACAGUACUUCCGUACUAUGGUUGCCAUGUCCGCAAAGUGUACUAUGUCACGGCGACUUAUAGCAUUAAUGAGUCCUUUGUUCGUGCAGUUUCUGCAGAAAAGCGAGACUAUGUUCUCCUGGUGGUAGUCCUCGACCUUGUUAAGCGCAAGGAGGAAUCUGGCCCAGUAACGGUGUACCGUCUCCUGGGGCUCUUGCCUGAUACGGGUGAGACGGUUUAAGCCCGAGCGAGUGUCGUUGGCUGAAUCCGGAUUUUGAUCCGAUCUAACACCUGGGGGCACGAGAGGUUCCGAGCCUGACAGUUCGGGAUCUGGAGUAUUACCCAAUCCCUUCGGCCCAAUUCCCGAUUCUAUGUACUGGACCUGGGUCAUGUCUUCCUUUGGGUGGGUGUUCGACUCACUGAGUUCAGUGAUCCGGACGUAAUUCGCCCUCAAAGUUGAGGGGCAACUCGCGUGUGGUUCCUCCACUACCGCUAUCUCAUGGGUGACCGGCGGGGAUCUAAUGUCCCUCUGGUCGGGUUUAAGCCCAAUCCGGUCAUAGUCCGUAGCGACUCCCAAAGUGGCGAUGCGAUCCAAGAGCUCAUUAAGGGAGGAGAACUCAAUCGGAUCCAUCUUUUCGGCAAGCUCCGAAUCGAUGCGAAGGUUAUGCGUGAUGACCCGAGAGGCCAUCGUUGGUGUGACAGCCAAUGGGGCGGUCAUAAUGAAGCCGCCAAGCCGGAGAGUCUGGCCUACAGCCAGCGCUCCCCCAGAGGUGAUGUCGUCCUUGACAACGAGACGAGCCAUUGAGCCUUUGCAGCAACGACACAGUGGAACUCUCAAUGAAAGCACCAAUGUUGGUGUCAAAACCGGCGGAUCUCGGGUAGGGGGUCCUGAUCUGUGCGUCUUAGGCUGAUGGUAACAAGAAGCAAGGGACACAAUGUUUACCCAGGUUCGGGCCCUCUCGAUGGAGGUAAAACCCUACUUCCUGCUUGAUUAAUAUUGAAGAUAUGUGUAGUAUAAGAGUAGAUCUACCACGAGAUCAUAGAGGCUAAACCCUAAGAGCUAGCCUAUGAUGGUAUGAUUGUAAUUGUGAUCGGCCUUCUAAGGACCAUCCUCUCAGGUUUAUAUAGACACCGGAGAGGGCUAGGGUUUACAUGGAGUCAGUUACAAGGAAGGAAAUAUAAUAUCCGGAUCGCCAAGCUUGUCUUCCACGCAAAGGAGAGUCCCAUCCGGACACGGGCCAAAGUCUUGAGUCUUGUGUCUUCACGCUUCAAUAGCCCGGACGAUGUAUAUAGUCCGGCUGUACGGAUACCCCCUUAUCCAAGACUCCCUCAGGGGGUGCCCUCCACCCUCGUGGCCAGGUGGCAGACCCCCCCUGCAGUGAUUUUAGUGCCUAAAAUCCUUAAAUAAUCCAUUAAAAAUCAUACUAAAUUUGCAGGGCAUUUGGAGCACUUUUAUUUUCGGGAUAUUUUUUUAUUGCAUGGAUAACUCGGAAAACAGACAAAAUAUUGUAUUUCUACUUUAUUUAUUCUAAGUAACAGAAAGUAAAGAGAGGGUACAAAAGGUUGUGCCUUCUAGCUUCAUCCGUCUCAUGAUCCUCAAAAUGAAUCCACUAACAAGGUUGAUCAAGUCUUGUUAACAAACUCAUUCCGAAUCACAUAGAACUGGAGAAAUUUCAAAGUGACACUAGGUUACCUCAACGGGGAUAUGAAAAUCCCCAAUAAUAAGAAUAUCAUACUUUUUCUUUGCAGUAGGAAGAGGAAAUUCAAAACCUCCAAUGAUAAUUGAUGGAAUUUUCCCAAUAGAAUUUAUGCUGUGAACUUGAGGUUGUUUCCUCGGAAAAUGUACCGUAUGCUAAUUUACAUUAACAUGAAAGGUGACAUUGCCUUUGUUGCAAUCAAUAACAGCACCUCUAGUAUUUAAAAAGGGUCUACCGAGGAUAAUCGACAUACUAUCGUCCUUAGGAAUAUCAAGAAUGACGAAGUCUUUUAAGAUAGUAACAUUCGCAACAACAACAGGCACGUCCUCACAAAUGCCGAUAGGUAUAGCAGUUGAUUUAUCAGCCAUUUGCAAGGAUAUCUCAGUGGGUGUCAACUUACUUAGUUCAAGUCUACAGUACAAGGAAAGAGGCUUAACACUAACACCGGCUCCUAAAUCACAUAAAGCAGUUUUAACAUAAUUUCUCUUUAUGGAGCAUGGUAUAGUGGGUACUCCAGGGUCACCAAGUUUCUUAGAUAUUCCACCCUUAAAGGUAUAGUUGGCAAGCAUGGUGGAGAUCUCAGCUUCUGGUAUUUUCCUUUUGUUAGUGAUGAUAUCUUUCAUAUAUUUAGCAUAAGGGCUUAAUUUAAGCAUAUCAGUUAAGCGCAUGCGUAAGAAAAUAGGUCUAAUCAUUUCAGCAAAACGCUCAAAGUCAUCAUCAUCCUUUGUCUUGGAUGGUUUAGGAGGAAAGGGCAUGGGUUUCUGAACCCAUGGUUCUCUUUCCCUACCAUGUUUCCUAGCAACAAAAUCUCUCUUAUCAUAACGUUGGUUUCUUGAUUUUGGGUUAUCAAGACCAACAGCAGGUUCAAUUUCUAUAUCAUUGUUAUUACUAGGUUGAGCAUCUACAUGAACAUCAUUACUAGCAUUAUCAUUAGGUUCAUGUUCAUCUCCGGAUUGUGUUUCAGCAUCAAAGAUAGAAGUAUUAUUAGGAUUCUCAGGUGUUUAUACAUUGGGUUCACUAGAAGCAUGCAAAGUUCUGUUAUUUUUCUGAGAAUCUUGUUCUAUCCUCUUAGGGUGUCCUUCAGGAUACAAAGGUUCCUGAGUCAUUUUGCCAGUUCUAGUAGCCACUCUAAUAGCGAAUUCAUGUUUAUUAUUUAAUUCAUCUAGCAAUUCAUUCUGAGCCUUAAGUACUUGUUCAGCUUGAGCGGUAACCAUAGAAGCAUGUUUACUAGUGAGUUUAAGUUCGCCCUUAACUCUAGACAUAUAAUCACUCAAGCGUCCAUUCAUAUAAGCAUUAUUUUUCACCUGUCUACUAACAUAAUCAUUGAAAUUUGCUUGUUUAUCCAUAAAAUCAUCAAACUCAUCUAAGCAUUGGCUAUGAAACUUAGUAGACGGAAUUUGAACUUUGUCAUAUCUAUAGAGAGAAUUUACCUUUACUACCUGUGUCGGGUUAUCAAGACAAUGUGUUUCUUCAACAGGCGGUAUAUUAAGACCAUGUAUUUCUUCAAUAGGAGGUAAAUUCUUAACGUCUUCGGCUUUAAUACCCUUUUCCUUCAUUGAUUUCUUUGCCUCUUGCAUAUCUUCAGGACUGAGAAAUAGAACACCUCGCUUCUUUGGGGUAGGUUCAGGAAUAGGCUUAGGAGUUAGCUCAAUUGGUUCAGGAAUUGCCACAGGAAUUGGCUCGGGAGGAGUCCAAUUAUUUUCAUUCGUCAACUUAUUAUUCAAUAACAAUUCAGCUUGGUCGACUGUUUUUCCCUGAAAACACAACUAACACAACUAUCCAAGUGGUCGUUGGAAGCAUCGGUUAGUCCAUUAUAGAAGAUAUCAUGUAUUUCAUUUUUCUUAAGAGGAUGAUCAGGUAAAGCAUUAAGUAAUCGGAGAAGCCUCCCCCAAGCUUGUGGGAGACUCUCUUCUUUGAUUUGCACAAAAUUAUAUAUUUCCCGCAAGGCUGCUUGUUUCUUAUGAGCAGGGAAAUAUUUAGCAGAGAAGUAAUAAAUCAUAUCCUCGGGACUACACACACAACCAGGAUCAAGAGAAUUAAACCAAGUUUUAGCAUCACCCUUUAAUGAGAACGGAAAUAUCUUAAGGAUGUAAUAAUAGCGAGACUUCUCAUCAUUAGUAAACAGGGUGGCUAUAUCAUUUAACUUGGUAAGAUGUGCCACAACAGUUUCAGAUUCAAUGCCAUAGAAACGAUCAGAUUCAACUAAAGUAAUAAUCUCAGGAUCAACGGAGAAUUCAUAGUCCUUAUCAGUAACACAGAUAGGUGAAGUAGCAAAAGCAGGGUCAGGUUUCAUUCUAGCAUUAAGGGAUUGCUGCUUCCAUUUAGCUAAUAACUUCUUAAGAUCAUAUCUAUCCUUGCAAGCAAAAAUAGCUCUAGCAACUUCUUCCUCCAUAACAUAACCCUCGGGAACAACAUGCAAUUCAUAAUUAGGAGGAGAACCUUCAUCAUCACUUUCAUCAAUAAUUUCAUUUUCAAUAAUUUCAUUCUCCCUAGCCCUAGUAAGUUGUUCAUCAAGAAAUUCACCUAAUGGCACAGUAGUAUCAAGCAUAAAAGUAGUUUCAUCAUAAGUAUCAUGCAUAGCAGAAGUGGCAUCAUCAAUAACAUGCGAAAUAUCAGAAUUCAUAGCAGUAGCAGGUUUAGGUGUCGCAAGCUUAUUCAUAACAGAAGGAGAAUCUAGUGCAGAGCUAGAUGGCAGUUCCUUACCUCCCCUCGUAGUUGAGGGAUAAACUUUAGUUCUUUGAUCUUUCAAGUUCUUCAUAGUGCUCGGCAGAUAUAAAUCCCAAGUGACUCAAAGAAUAGAGCUAUGCUCCCCGGCAACGGCGUCAAAAAUUAGUCUUGAUAACCCACAAGUGUAGGGGAUCGCAACAGCUUUCGAGGGUAGAGUAUUCAACCCAAAUUUAUUGAUUCGACACAAGGGGAGCCAAAGAAUAUUCUUAAGUAUUAGCAGUUGAGUUGUCAAUUCAACCACACCUGGAUAACUUAGUAUCUGUAGCAAGGUAUUUAGUAGCAAAGUAGUAUGAUAGUAAUGGUAACAGUGGUAAAGGUAAAUAUAGUAAUGAUAGCAGUAUUGUAGUGAUUGUAAUAGUAGCAACGGAAAAGUAAAUAAGUGAAGCACAAUAUAUGAAAAACUCCUAGGCAUUGGAUCAGUGAUGGAUAAUUAUGUCGGAUGCGAUUCCACAUGUAAUAGCUAUAACAUAGGGUGACACAGAACUAGCUCCAAUUCAUCAAUGUAAUGUAGGCAUGUAUUCCGAAUAUAGUCAUACGUGCUUAUGGAAAAGAACUUGCAUGCCAUCUUUUGUCCUACCCUCCCGUGGCAGCAGGGUCCUAAUGGAAACUAAGGGAUAUUAAGGCCUCCUUUUAAUAUAGAACCGGACCAAAGCAUUAGCACUUGGUGAAUACAUGAACUCCUCAAACUACGGUCAUCACCAAGAAGUAUCCCGAUUAUUGUCACUUCGGGGUUGUCGGAUCAUAACACAUAAUAGGUGACUAUAGACUUGCAAGAUAGGAUCAAGAACUAACAUAUAUUCAUGAAAACAUAAUAGGUUCAGUUCUGAAAUCAUGGCACUCGGGCCCUAGUGACAAGCAUUAAGCAUAGCAAAGUCAUAUCAACAUCAAUCUCAGAACAUAAUGGAUACUAGGGAUCAAACCCUAACGAAACUAACUUGAUUACAUGGUAAAUCUCAUCCAACCCAUCACCGUCCAGCAAGCCUACGAUGGAAUUACUCAUGCACGGUGGUGAGCAUCAUGAAAUUGGUGAUGGAGGAUGGUUGAUGAUGACGAUGGCGACGAAUCCCCCUCUCCGAAGCCCCGAACGGACUCCAGAUCAGCCCUCCCGAGAGGUUUUAGGGCUUGGCGGCGGCUCUGUAUCGUAAAACGCGAUGAAACUUCCUCUCUGAUUUUUUCUCCGUGAAACAGAAUAUAUGGAGUUGGAGUUGAGGUCGGUGGAGCAGCAAGGGGCCCACGAGACAGGGGGUGCGCCUUAUAGGGGGGCCCACCCUCGUGGACAGGGUGUGGGCCCCCUGGCCUUCAUCUUUUGCCAGUACGUUUUAUAUUUUCUGAAACUUAUCUCCGAGGAUUUUCAAGUCAUUCCAAGAACUUUUGUUUCUGCACAAAAAAAAACAC